rnacentral:lncRNA from 1 species
AAGGUAAGACUUUUAAUAAAUAAUGUCGUGUGUAUAUCCAUGUUCUCCAAAAAUUCUCUGAAACAGAUAAUGUCGUUUGUUUACUCAAAUAUAUAAUAUGUGAUAACUGUAACAUUCAGGUGUACAAAUUUAGGUGUACAUAUUGAGUCCAGAUUGAGGUGUUUUUUUUUGUGUAGUUAUUAGGCGUACACAGAGAGGUAAGCUGAGACUUUAAAGAUAUAAGAGAACGGUAAGAGAACGGUUCUCGAAAAACUUGCACUACCACCCACCGAAAUUAAAUAAAGUCAGCACAAUUAAAGUAUCCAUAGAUUGAAAGCAAAACAAAGUACACCUACAUACAUACAUACGUAGUAGGCCUAAAUAAAAUUUUAAAUCUUAAAGUACGAAGUAACAGCAACGCCGAGGUGUACUUAACUUAGGUGUACACACCAAGGUGUACACCCCGCAGGUGUACACACCGAAACUGGUUGACUUGCACCAAUCAGUCACCAUUCUUCCAUUGACGGCCCAGAACGCGCUGCAUACCAAACAAAUACGAAGAACUUUUGCGUUUCCUGUGCCCAGAAACACGACGUGCACAUGCUUGGCCCCUUUAACAAUUCGUCAUGCCAAUCAAGUUGAGCAUUGGCAACACCACAGCGACAAGACCAAAGUGUGGCAAACUGAGCAUUAGUCUCAAAUCUCCUCCUCGAGAACUCUUCUGGCAAAAUAACAUAACCACGCUCACCUCCAUCAAUAAUUUUCUGAAUUAUUCUCCUCAUUGCCCCCCUGCCUAGUUUUGAAAGGUACUCUAAACCCACGGGGUCUUCAACCACUGCUUUCAUGUACAUGCCAUACAUGUAAAUACAUGUUUCGUAUCCCAUAUCUGCAGAUUCCUUGAUGAGUUUUAUGCCACAUUUGUCUCCUCGGCAGAAGUAGGAUUGCGUGCGUCAUACAUCGUCCUCAACAAGUUGGGAAAUUCCCAAUUCGCGAUAAAAGGCAUAUCGAAAUCUUCGGGAAUAGGCAUCUCCAAUUCCACGGGAUCAACCGAUGCUAGAAAAUUUUUGGUUAAAGUGCAGGCCUGGAACCGUUUGCAAACUUGCUUCAGUGUGAAAAUUUGUUGGACGGAGUUGCAACUGUAUGCGAGAACCUUCUCCAAUAGUUCGUCGGGAAGCGCCAUCAGAGGGGAUUGACGAUAAUCACGGAUAUCCGCAUCACAUCGCCCUCUCUUUGGUGCCAUAUUUAAUUUGUGAGGUUCAAUUGUGAUAAAAAUGGUUGUUUAUGGAGAUGGAAUAACUGCGGUUUAGGAUUUGUGAAGCGGAACGGUUCUUAAUGUUACAUAUAUAUAAUAAUUAAAAAAGCCCACUAAAUGACCGUAUACAUUAAAUGCGGUUACCGUUAAGAUUGUAAAUGAGUUUGUAAAAUUAGUGGAUAAACCAUAAAUUUCCUUGUUGUACACCCAAUUGAUGUACACGUAAAUGGAUAUUGGUGUACAGGUACAUAUUUAGCCGGGAACAAGGUAUUCACACAACAAUUAAUAAAUACUAAAAUAAUGUGAAGUAUAAACAAAUUUGUCUUUAUGUACUCCCAUUUGAUGCAUAUUGGUGUACAACUAAACGCUAUUAGGUGUACGGAUACGCAAUUAUUAAAGUAAACUAAAUUAUAAGCAAAUUAUAUAAUCGACACACCAAUUAAUAGAUAGUAAAGUAAACAAUAUUAUAAGCAUAUAAAUUAUCAAAUAAACCCACAUCCUAAACAUUAUCAAACACAUAAUCCAACAAAUAACCCUUGCAUAAAUUGUCAAGUUCAACAUUAAACUUCAACAUUCGUCCUAAGUGUUGGCAAUAGCCGGAUUCCUGACAAACUCUUCGUAUGAGUCCAUGGCGUAUUUCUCCCUUAACCUGUCAACGUCAUCGUCCGUUAUCAAACCCAUAUCCUCCACUCCAAGGCCUGCAGCAUGCAUCUCUAAGAAUUUGGCCGCACAUGGACCACAGUCACCGGAUCUUUUGUUCUGAUAUAUGCCCUCCAAACGACUCCAUGUGUAAGGGGUGGUGCAUAGGCCUUCCGUUAAUUUGCUAUCCAAAUAACGCUUCAAUAUAAAUGGCAUACUUUGACACACGGGCGCCAUAUACUGCUCCACAGCGGCUUCAUCAUUAUGACUGAUGAAUGAGUCCAAAAUCUUUAUGUUGCCCGUUUUAAAGUCAAUUACAAGGCCCACCCAAUGCUCAGACCCCCAGUUCAUGGGGACGUAUACAACGUCCACAAACCGUACAAACAUUUGCCUCUACCGCUGAUUAGCCCACUUUGCUGGUUUUCCCAAUACAAUGCCCUGAAUGGUUUUCCCCCAGUCAUACUGAUUUUUGUCUCGCGAUAUGAAAUCGUUGUAGUAGUUGCCGAUGAUGGAUAUGAACAAGGUGUCUACAAAUGCUACCCUGUCUUUCAAGUAUAUUUCACCUCUACGUCUCCAAAGCAUGGCCAUUAUGACUUGCAUGUGCUGACGAAAAAUAAAACAUAAAUAACAUAUAAUACAGAUAAUUAAAGAUUGAGUAAGUACUAACUAUAUACUUACCAUCGUGUUAACCCACUCAAUAGGCUUCGCAAUUUGUAGGAAGAAUUGAUUGUUCACAGUAUGACCAUUGACAAUGCAAAAUUCGCUGUAAUGAGAGCAAUUGGUAAUUGAUUAGAAUGAAAGUUUAAGGAUAAAUUGCUUUCAAUACGAUAUAACUUACAUGUUUCUUUCACGCGAUAAUAACUCCUGAAAUGCCUUGAAGUGGUCUUGGUCAACUGUUUCGAGUGGUUUGUACGCAGCUUUCGAUCUGGAUACAAAUAGAGCUUUCACCUUUGAAUCAGCGGUGUAAAUAUCUCGAAUCUUGUCCGAUCGUACACGUGCGCGUUUUGCUCUACUUCUUCCUCCUCUUCCUGUUCCUCUACCUCUUCGUCCUCUUCCUGUUCCUCCACUUGUUCUCCUUACACCAGACGAUCCCUCAACUUCUUGUGGGGGUUUUGGAGUACAAGGGGUCUUCUGCGAAGCAUCACUUGCAUCCUCAGGCGCAGUAUGGUAAUCUUUCCCCGCAUUUGAGUCGUCCUCAUUAGCCACACCCUACAAACCACCGUAACAAUAAAGCGUAUAACAUAUCAAUCGUAUACCUAGCGUAUACCUAAACACUACUGUAUACACAUGCAUAUCAUAUGAACAACUUUAAUGUCUGACCUGUGCAUCCUGCGCAUCUGUCUGCGCUUCAUGUUUCUUAUAUGCGUAGCUCAAUGGGUGAGGAGUCUGAGGUUUGUAGACUACUAAGGGGCCUGACACCAAAUUUGUUCUACCACCAUCCACCUGAAUAAGUCAUAAAAAACAUAGCACAUUACACCCACGUUAUGAAACUUAAUAGAGUCAGCUGCUGACUAAACAAUUAGCUCACCUCGUUGAGGCCAGAAGGUGGAAUUUCAUCCGGAGUGACGAAGUAAGGAGGUGGACGAGUUGUUCCUGAAUUGGCUUGUCCCGGUUCAGGGGUCAUCGUCGGAGCUUCUGGAGUCUUCAAGUACGCAUGGUCCCUGGGAGAAUAAUGGUCCCCGCCGUAGUAACUAGAGGUCCCUUCUUCAUCAUCUCUUUCUUUCUGGUGUACACCAUCUUCGGGGUGUACACCAUCAUUAUGGCGUACGCUAGACUGUGCCCCUCCAUCUUCGGCUUCGUCUUCAUCUUCAUCCGCUUUUUCACCAUCUUUUUUUGUAUUCUGUCCUUCGUCAUCCUGUUCCCCAUCUUCUUUUGACUGGUGUACAUCGUCAUCUUCUUCGUCCUCUUGGUAUACGCCCAAUCUCUUGUCCAACUCGGUCUUAAUCUCAGGAAGGAGCAAAGUAUUCUGAAGUACUAUCCAUCUUUUAAGAUCUUUAAUCUGUCAACUUUCAGGUGUUUCAUCUUCCGAUAGAUUAGAAAAGUUCUUGCCCCUGCCUCUCUUCCUCUGCAUAUUACGUUUUUCAGUUUGAUGGGUUUUCUGUUUCUUUUUCGGUCGGGUGGAUGGCUCAGGUUCCUGUUCAUUGGUAACCUCGUCCUCUGCAUCACUAAUAUCCACGAUAGGUGCCGGUGCCACUGCAAAAUCCGAAGGUGUGAAUUUGUACCCCUCGGCCAUGAGUUCCUGCAUGAAUGCAACUUCGGCAUCCUCUACCUCAUCUCCCCAACGCAAUUCAUUUUGUUGGUCAUUCUCACCAUCAUCCACUACCAUCUGUUUCACAGAAAACUAAGACAAAAAAUAUACAAUUGCAAAUUUACCAACCAAAAUGACAGAGCACUUAUCUUUUAAGAGAAGUACUACAAAAUAAGACUACAAAUAGUACUAAAUAUAAUACUACAAAUAAUUUACCAGAGGGUCGGAUUCGACGGCAUGUAUGUCCCCAAGAUGCAACAGUGUGAUAACGUUUUGACAGCCUUCGGGAUCUUCAAGGAAUGUCUUCAAGUUAUCAGGUUGAGGAAUUUUGGAAACCAACAUUGGUAUAGAUUGGAGGGCCAUGAGUUGUAGUGAUAGAGGGAAUCCAUAGCAUGCACUGGUUUUCUGUUUAAGUUGACGGCGCAAUCGUGUUACAGGAUUCUCCCUUUUCUCGGCAUCCGUGAUUGCCUUCGGAGCUUGAAAACAAGAUACUGUUUUGUUAAAGGAUACCCUCCCCCAUGGAUACAGCAUGAACCUAUCCAAGUCACUCAACAUCUCAACGUAUUUCUCGGUGAGGGCCAGAUUUUUGCUAUUGCAAAACAGAACACCGUCGACAAGAACGAUUAGGGCCAAUGGAAGCCGUUUCCAUCGGGGUAGAUCCGGGUCCUUUAGCAUUUCAAGCACAUCAUACACGUUCAUAGCCUUCACUCUUCCGAACAGGUCUUUCCAGAUUCCUGUUUUCCCGACUUCUUCUUCUUCUUCUGUGCUAUCAGGUUCGGGAUUGCAAUUCAAUCCAGUGAUUUCCUUGAACUCCCGUAUCGAAUAUCUCAGAGGCUGUCCACCAAAGAGGAACCAAAUCUCGUGUUUCUUCGUGGUCACAAGUUGUCAUGAUAGAAGGGCAUGGACAAGUUUGGCGCUGUUGCAACAUCUUGCAACAGGUAGAUGGAAUAACUUCCCAAACUGGGAAUGAAGUAGCUUCUCAAGAUCUUCAGUACCCUUUAACGCCUCGACAAGGAGGCCAAUUACAUUGGCCUUUGAAUAUAUGUUCAACCGAGCACCAACGGGGUAGCAACCAUCGCCGAGGACUCUUUUUGGUAGUUUUCCGAAAGGUUAUUUGAAGCUUCUCCAUCUUCCAUGCCUGUAUUUGAAGGUUCUCCGUCUUCCAUUCCUGUAUUUGAACGAAAACAACAAUUUCGAAAUGCACGAAAAGAUAUAGUAUUCUGGAUAAACACUGAAAUGCAAACCUAGGGGAAAUGUUUGAGGGAAAGGAGUUCGAAGGAGUUCGAAAGAGAGAACAUAUAUCUGGGAAAACUACCCUAUUUGUAUGCUCUCCUAUAAAAACUUCUGUAACUGUUUCUAGAUGAUAUAAGAGUAAUCCAACCGUUUGAAAUCAAUAUGUAGACAUAAGUACUACAGUUCAUAACCGCUAAUACAUAAAUGAAGCCAAUCAGCGCCCCGUUUCAAUCUUAAUUUUAAUUACAAACCGCCAGUACAGUUCAGACAAGGUCGAAGUUCAUAAAUGUAACUUACUUUUAGAAUUCUGAGCAGGCCAUUCUAGAAGAAGAGGAGCGAAUUGUACUUUGGCUCUACACCGCCGGCAUGGAUUCAGACGACUCGAGUGAAUGGGAUGUUCAACCCGGUCACUCCGCCGCGGUGGCACGGGCGGCAUGGGCGAGUGGUCCGUCGGAGCUGUCUUCGAGUUACUCCGGAGCACGCGCCUCGACACCGGAGGCACGGUGUUGUUGCGCCUUAACGAUUUUUUUACUUUCCGUGCCAUUACAACGGUAAAUCGGAUGGCUAAUCGAAGAUGGAUUGCCGGAGAUGCUAGAUAGAUGACGUCCAGAUGUGGAUCCCAAAUUAAAUUUUUAUUUUAAAUGUUGGGGUGUCGAUAAAUUAUACAUUUGGUUUUACUUCGGUUUAUGAUAUUGGACUUCGGUUGAUAAUUUUGUGUAAUCGGUUUACGAAAUCGGGUUUAAUCUGAAAUUUUUAGUUAUUUUACUUCGAUAAUGGCAAUUCCGAAAAUAAAAUUUGCCUAAGGGCCCUUGUGAGAAGACAAACAGUAAAAACAACCCUUUCCUUCUAUAGUUUUCAAAACAUCAUAUUCCUCAAAUUUAAAACUUAAAAACAUCCCAUUCAGCAAUUUUCUCAUAUAAAAAGAGAUUUCCUCGGAAACUAAGUCGACGGAAAAGAGAAUUCUUUGCAAACUAAACCUAAAUAAACAUAGCCUACAACGAAAACUUUCAACCAAGACCAGAACCUAGAAAGCAAAAAGAUCACUUGAGCUUUUACUUCUUUUUUUUUUUUUGAACAGCACUGAGGUUUUACUUCAAGUAGUAUUUUUUCAAGCAAAAAUAGAAAAGGAAACAAAUGUCAACUCUUCAAAAAGAGUUGUACUUGUGAUAUGUGAGUAUUGUUCAACGAAUAAAAUAUCUAAAAAGCGACUAAGUUUGAACCAUUAAAUAAAAUAUUUAUUUUAUCCUAGCUUCUCUUCCAAAACCGUAAUUUUCAUUUCCUAAAGACACUCACUUAUCGUCCUAAUCCUCCUCGCAGCCACAAUCUUCAUCUUAAGGUCUGAGCAAAGUGCAAAAGAUAGGAUCAGGUUCUUCUUACAAGGUAAAAUAUAAUCACUUUCUCUGAUUCUGAUUCUCUUAUUCUUCCCAUUUGUGGUCGAUUGAGUCCUCUCUCCACUUUAGUAAUCUUCACAAUCUGUCGGAAACGGUGAGGGUGAAGAGAUUUCUUAUUUCUUGUUGCUUUGUUUCAUUUUAGAGAUUUUUUGUGUAAUCGAAUUUUAUCACUGUAAUGAAAAAGUUACGCCCUUUAGUUGUUUGAUUAAAUGCUCCAAUGAAAGAUUAUUUGUCAUAAAAACCCAAACUUUUCUCCAUUUUUAUUGUAAAACAUCGUGAAUCUCUUUCGGGGUUUGGUGAAAAUGAAGAGAUAUGAUGAUUGACAUAUUGCUCUUAAUGCACAGAUUCCGAGCUUUUAUAAUGGCGCUGUUUCCUCUUCACCACGAAUUCCCCUGUAAAGAUCAUAUUUUUCAUAGUGGAACUUCGACUAGACAAAGCAAAGGAGAGCUGUUGUUUGAUUCGAAUGGUUCAAGGCGUUUUUCUUCCGGCAGGACCUUCUUCUUCCCAAGUCCGGCUUUUGACGUGUUAAUGAAGGCAGAGGUUAUUAGCAGUAAACAUAGAACAAUGGCUGAAGCUACUUCUCUGGGGAGGGAUUGUAGGGUGAAGAGUCAUAUAAGAUCGAUCCCGUAUUGUCUUUCAUCAAGAAGGAAUCUAUGCUUGGUUAGAGCGUCAUCAGAGAACAAGAUGAUAAAAAAGAGACUUAAGAUGUUAGAUACUUACUUUGGGAAACUUCAAAGCGACGAUGAGAAGCCUUCUGUCUCCACGGGAGAUGAAAUCGAUCGUAAAGCUGAACUCAAUGCAGAGGAAGAGUUGGAAUCUUUGAGCGUUUAUCUUGAUAAACUCCAAAAGGGUAUGACAAUAAUAAUACGAUCUUCUUGAAUUUGGUGACUUUCCUCUUGUUACUACUCACUGACUUCGUUCUUUUAUUCUCAGAUGCGAAGUUUAAAGAAGGCGGUUCAGUAGCAAGCAAAAUGAGAAAGACUGAUAUCAAAAGUAAUAAUAGUCCUUUUCAGCAGCUCGAGGAUGAUAAUGAUCAAUCAGAAGAUACAUUGAACUUCUAUGCUGUGUAAAAACUCGUAACCACCCUCUUGUUCGUCUUUUGUUGCAACUUGCAACACAUGUUCUUACUGACAAUGUGUCUCCAUUGAAAAUGCAGGAGCAUAUUAGCAUCCAUAAAUGUCGGAGUGUGUCUAUUUGAAGCUGCAAGUCCCAUUAGGAACAACGAUAUGGGACUGUUAUCACUGCCGCUUUUGUAUGGAGCAAAGAUAAACGAUCUAAUCGUGGCUGGACAAUGGUGGAGGCUGGUCACACCCAUGUUUCUGGUACAAGACCAACAAAUUGGGUCUGUUCUCCCUUUCUUUACUGUUUCAAAACUGUGACCAAAACAGCCGGAGAUUUUAAAAUACUGGACAAAAAUUAUCUUCAAAAGCAGAAGUAUAUAUUGCUUUAGUUUUCUCAUUGCAUAUUUUUGUGUUCCACAUUCAGCACUCUUGAUGACUUGGUUUCAUGUAAGUUUUCUCUUUUUGUCACUGAAACGCUUUCUUUUUCACAUAUGCAGCAUUCUGGAAUCCCUCAUGUAGCACUUAGCUCGUGGGCUCUGCUGACUUUUGGACCAAAAGUUUGCCGUGACUAUGGGAUAUUCACAUUUUGUCUCAUUUACAUACUCGGAGGAGUGUCUGGUAACUUCAUGAGCUUUCUUCAUACACCAGAUCCUACAGUUGGAGGAACUGUAAGCUAACCAAACUUUCCAAUAUGUGAUAUCACCAAAUUGCACCGUUCUUAACUUUCAGACUUAACGUAAACUGAUUGUGUGCAGGGACCAGCAUUUGCAUUAAUAGGAGCUUGGCUUGUCGACCAAAAUCAGAACAAAGAGAUGAUCAAAAGAGAUGAAUACGAAGAUCUGUUUCAAAAGGCCAUUAUAAUGGCAGGACUUGGUCUAAUCUUAAGCCAUUUCGGUCCAAUAGAUGACUGGUAAGUUGCUUCCAACAUAUCUUUCACAUGUUUUGCUUAGAAUAAUCCAUCAUAAAAACUUGAUCUUUGGUUUGAUUGAUAAGUUUACUCUAGACUCAACAAACAACACUCAAGGAUAUACUGUGUUUUUCAUGACAGGACAAAUCUAGGAGCACUUGUAGCAGGGAUCGUGUACGGGUUCUUCACUUGUCCUGUGUUUCAACUUGGAAGAGGGAGUGAGAGACAAGAAGGGAUUGUGACGGUUGGACCAGAGAAACAGAACAAUGGUGAUCCGUGUAAAUCAUUUCUUGUGUUCAUAGUCUUUGUCGCUGUUCUUGUGACUUGUGUGGUGCUUCUUGGUGAUGGACCGUUGGACUUCCCUACGUACGACGAUGUUGUCUACUCUCUCAUUUAGUGUGUCAUCAUCGUCAAGACAUCAACUGGUUAAGGAACUUGUGUGUGUUUAUGUAGUGGAAAGCUCAAUUUGAAUAUUGGUGGACGAGAGUUCUUUUGUUUGGGGUAUAGCAAAGAUGAGAAAAACAUGUUUUGGCUAUGUCAAGUUUUUAUUUUUGGUCGAUCAUCAACUAUUUUGGUGUAAUUAUGUUGAAAUCUCAAGCUUUUUGUGUAACCAUGUCUCAGUGUAUACUACUUGUGUCACUUUAGUAGUAUUAUAACAAUUAAAUCGGCAAUAACAACUAUUAAAACAGAAAAGAAUGGUUGUAAACUUCAUCAGUUCGACAAAGCUUAAGCAUAUUUUAAGGGGUUUAUGAUUAUCAUACUUAAAGAAACCUAAAUACUAUGUUGAGAAAGUCUAUAACAAAAAAAGAACACGAUAAUUAAACCAAUAUCCGAGAAAAUAAGUUUUUGAAUUUCAUUAAGAGGAAAAUAGCAAAUUUCGAGGAACCUAAAAGAGGAAUCAAUCGCAAAGUAGUUUUCAAAUUGUUUCCAAACAAACAAAACAACAAUAAUAGAAAAAAGUGUUAUCUUAUAAUAAGAAUCCUGAGCUAUCUCUCACUCAGAUUAUCACAUAAACCUUCUAGGAAGUUUCUCUAUCUUUAUAAAAUGACUUCCACUUCUUCAGUUUUUACUCUGCACCUUCGGGCUUCGAAGCCUCCUUUAUCUCAUCUCCUGCUUCAUCCUAUCAACCCAAAAAAGAAACAAUCAUGUCAAUUACAAAACUAAGCAAGCCCUAAGUAAUAGUGAACGAUAGAUGAAUCUUUGUUGUGUCGAGGCUUACUGUCAUGUCUGAAGUCCAGAGAGUGAGGUUGUCUCUGAGAAGUUGCAUAAUCAGUGUACUGUCCUUGUAUGAUUCCUCACCCAAAGUAUCCAACUCGGCGAUAGCUUCAUCAAAAGCCUGCAGAACCAAUUGAGCUCAUUAAGUUUUAGAAAGUUGAAAACUUUCACAUGGUUAAAGAAGAUGGUGAGAAAACAAACCUGCUUUGCGAGGCUGCAAGCACGGUCAGGCGAGUUUAGGAUUUCAUAGUAAAACACAGAGAAGUUGAGUGCAAGACCAAGCCUUAUCGGGUGAGUGGGAGCUAACUCAGCAAUGGCAAUGUCCUGCAUUAUCACAGAAUAUAGAAACAACAACAAAAUCAAUCAUAGCUAGCUACAAAAAAGAAAGGUAGUAUCGAAUGUUGUAAUUUAAAGGAAGAAUUAUCACUUGCCUGAGCAGAUUUGUAAGCAACCAGAGUGCUUUCAGCAGCUUCUUUCCUCUCGGCUCCAGCUUUAAACUCAGCAAGAUACCUGUGGUAAUCUCCCUUCAUCUUAAGGUAAAACACUUUAGAUUCAGCUGGUGAAGCAGAUGGAAUCAGAUGAGCUUCAAGAACAUUCAAAAUCCCAUCGCAGAUUUUGUUAAGUUCGGUUUCGAUUUUGCCCCUGUAUUCCUUGAUGAUAGCGACAUGUUCUUCGUUCCCUUUGCUAUCUUCCUUCUGCUCAAUCGAAGAAAUGAUCCUCCACGAAGCUCUUCUCGCCCCGAUCACAUUCUUGUAAGCAACGGAGAGAAGGUUCCUCUCUUCAACGGUGAGUUCCUCGACAUCCACGGUCUUUGCAACUUUCUCCAUGAAUUCAACCAUUUCUUCGUAACGCUCAGCUUGCUCGGCUAACUUCGCCAUGUACACAUUCUCUUCCCUUGAUGAUUCAGUCGACAUCUUCGAUUUGAGAAUCUAGAGUAACACCAACAAAGCAGAAACAGUUACUAACCCUUAAAACCGUGCAAUAAUUGAACAAAACCAUAGCAUCUACACACUCAUUUACUAAAUCAUGUUUUUUCAUCGGAUUAAGUACACACUCAAGAUCUCACAGAAAAUAGCGAGUGAUAUUACUCUACUAACUCUAAAGCCGUGCAAAUAUUGAAUCAAGCCAUAACCCAAAUCACCAUCUACACACUCAUUCACUGAAUCAUGUUCUAAUCAUGUUCUUUAUCGGAUUAAGACCACACUCAAGAUCUCACUGAACUCAUCGAUAAGAACAGUGAUAUCUAGAGCAAAUCCUACAAAGCGAUAACAAAUUAACUCUAAUAACCCCAAAGCCGUGCGAAAAUUGUUUCAAGCCAUAACCCAAGUCAAACAUCAAUACACUCAUUCACUUAAUCAUGUUCUUUACGGAUUAAGAACAACGUCAUGCUUUGACACAAACAGCAUUAAGAACAGUGUGAUGAUGCAGUCAACAUCUUUGAUUAAAGAAUCUAGAGCAUAUCCUAUAAAGCGAAAACAAAGUAACUCUACCAACCCUAAAACUGUGCAUACACUUGAAUCAAACCAUAAUCAAAAUCAUCAUCUACACACUCAUUCACUAAAUCACACUGUUCUUCACUGAAAACAGAGAUAAGAACAGCGAAAAUUGGCCAAUCCAACACAGAAUACGAACAUACUCGAGCUCUCUCACUCAAACCAAGGAUAGAUCGAUCACUAGAAUGGAACAAUAGAACAUCAGAUCUACACGAACGAGAAGUUGAACGAAGGAUGAUUAGAGAGAGAAACUUCAGGGCUUACCUUUUUUUUCUUUUCUUUUUCGUGUGAAGAUCUGAUUCGAAUUGCUGCAAGUGGUUUGAAAAUUUGGAAUAUGAAGAAACUGUGAAUCUGAUACAAUUGAAAAUGGAAUAAAACUGUUUUCGAGGCGUAGAGUUAAGAGCUCCAAUAUUUUCUUGACAAGUGUCCGAUGCUACAGAUGACCGACGAUUCGACCGACCACGUGUCUACCCAUGCUGCUGAGAUCUAUUAUAGAACUCUGAGCUGAUAAAUGGGCCAAAUAAUGGGCCUGAUCGUUUACUGUUGAAGCGGAGUCUUGCGACUCUCAGUCUCGCUUGUAUUCUUUGAAGUCAUCGCUUGACUGAGGGGACAAAGUUAAAACUAAAUCAUGAAGGAUUUGGAUAUGGAAGUUUUUUUUUUUUGUAAACAUGUUAAAAUUUUAUUAUCGAUUUUCGAAUUUUUUAUAGAAAUUACAGAGAUUACAAGGAAAGCAGAAAGACCGAAAAUAAAAAACUACUAACAAAUCCGACAAAUGCAGCAAACAACAACGAAAGUAUAAGAAAAUGGAAUGCGGAAUUGAAAUAAAACCGAAGCAAAACCAGACGGGAAAGCAGCAGUCGCACGCCAAAACGCAGACCACCCCGUAAUUGCCACAGCUCCAAAGAACUAGAGUUCUCAUCUUUGUUACCACAAGCAUCUUCCCGAGGCCAACCCUCAAACCUCAAAAGAGAGACGCUUACAGCUUCUCCGAGAACUAACGGAAUUUCCGGAUUCCGUAACGGACUAACCUGCAACGGUUGACAAGGGAGCCCGCAAGGGCCAUCGGAGAGUCACUUCGGACUACCAUUCCCGAAAAAACGAAUUUCCUCGAGAACCAGCUCCCACAGCUACAAACUAGCCGCAACAACAAACCGGCGCCUCAACAAUCACGUCCAGUAAUACUCCACCAUCUACACCGGAUCACAUCCGGAGCCACCACAAACCAAGAACUAUACACAAACGCGGAGCUAUCGCAAAUAAUCGGACACACGCACCUUCGGAAAAUCUCAGGCCACACCGAUGCUGUAGACGGCGGAGGAGCCAAAAGCUGAGACAAACCAGCGGGGCAACCGCCGAGCCACCCGUCUUGAGCCACUGCUGAGAGACACCGUCGAUGGAGCCGCACCUGCCGGAGAAACGAGAGCCAACACUCCGAGGCUUGCCACAAGCCAAAAGCCGCUGCCAAAACCCCUUAAGCCAGAGAUCAAAUUCGUCCUCAAAAUCCAAUACUUGACCGCCGAGAUUGACAGAAGCUCUUUACUAUCUAGCCACCACUCCGACACCUCGCGAAUGAAGCUUGAGAGGGACUGUAGCCGGAAGAGACAGCCACCACCUGCACACCUUCGACUAAAGCCAGAGAGCUCGUCUCAGGCAGGAGACUCUAAAAGAAACGCCGAGGAAACACGCCGGAGAAAAAAACAAGCCAGAUGCGAGAAGAGAGGAAGAGACGCCGGAAAAACGAAGCCAGACAGAGGGGGACGCCAACUACGAAUGAAGACGGAACACCUCCACCGCGGAUCCAACGCCGCUGAAGCCCGUGCCGCCGUCGUCGAGAACCCACCGACAAAACCACCAUCGUUCCUGCAACACCCAGCACGGCGGAAACCAGAUCUAAAGAGAAAAAGAAGAGAUGCAGAAGAAAGAGGGAAACAUGGGGGUCCUUCCUCCGGCGACGGUGAGCCACCACAUGCGCCGGAGAGGGAGAUCGGGAAGUUUUAGUUUGUCUGCAAGUUCAGAUUUUAAAAUCGCGGAGAAGGAGAAGAGGAGAGAGAAAAUUCCGAUUUGGAAUGUUGAGAUAUUGAUUUUUUACUUUUUGGAUAUGGAAGUUUUGAUAUUGAAUUUAAUUAUAUUGUGUGUAAUUACAAAGUUUAAUUAUAUUGAGUUUAAUUAUAUUGUCUGUAAUUACAAAGUUCAACCAAAUUUAUAAUUUACAUUUGAAAAAUAAAUAGUAUAAAAAAGAAGAAUAAUAAAUUUAAUCAUUCAUUAGCAAAUAAGAUUUUUUUUUGUUGUCAAAUUCAAUUUUUAUGUUGCAUAUAUUUAUAAUAAUUUAUAUUUCAAAUAUUUUAUAUAUUGACUUUGUAACUUUAUUUUUAGUAUUAAUAAAAUUGUUUGACAUAAAACAAAACUGAAAUCGAAAUUUAAAUUGUUUUUAAUUUAUCAUAAAGUAGUUUACGAAGUUUUUGCGCAACCAAAUCGAAUAAACUGUUUUUAAUAUUUUUUUACGAAAUUUAAUUAUACUAAAAUUAAAUAACAAUACAACGAAAACCGAUUUCUUUUAGAAUAUUUCCUUGAUUCUCUUUGCCUCCUCUACAAAUUCCGGAUCAAAACCCAAAUUUUCCUUGUAAAAAAUGAUGCAAACUGAAACCAAAAGUGGAGAGAACGACUUCAAACGACAUAAACUAUGUUUAGUUUUAAAUGUAAUCAACUCCCAUGAACAUGAACAUGAACAUAAACAUGAAACUUGUCAAAUGCAUUGGAGAAGAGAGAUUAUCAUAAAAGCAAAGUAAAAAGAAAAAAAAGAAAGAUGGGUCUCUGAGUUUAGGAAGGAGGAGGAAUGGAUUUGGCCCUGUUUUCUUAUUUUUCAUUAUUGGUCCUCAAACUCGUGCAUGUGAUCUAGAAGAUAAUUAGCUGCAAGCUCUUCGUUCUUGUUACACGCAAAGAACACUUCUAAGACCAUCGCACGAUCAAACCCCAUCGCUUCAAGCUGUUCACCCAUUCAACAAUAACAAAUUCAACUUCCAUCAAAUACAAGACAGUAUUUUAUAACAUGGAUUCAAACAUUCAAAAAAAAGUCUAGUUCAAGUAACAAAUGAAAAGAAAAGAGGGAACAAACCCGUUCAAUGGCUUCACGCUCCUCAGGUGUGACCGUAACAGCUUGUGGCAUUGCUGCUUCCAACUGUUCAAUGACAUUCCUGUUGUGGCAUUUGUGAGGAAAUGAUAUAUCAGCUUCCAGGUAUUGUUGGACAAAAGAAGAUUAAUUGAAAAUGUAUGGAAACUCACUCUUCUCCCUCGACGGGCUCAUUUAUCAAGCGUAGGAAGUCAGCCUGGUGCUCUUGAAUUAGUCGCACAAGCUGAGGGUUUUGUUUACCGAGCUCCUGAAGCAUAGGCUGCAAAAACAAAACAUUAUAAGCUGAAAAUAUUAUGCGAUAGCCACAUACCAGGGGAAUUGAAUAAGAGGUGAAUCAACGUACCUGUAGAAUUUGUGGGUUCGCUUGUACCAUAGCUCGCAAGGCUUGGAACUAAGAAAAGGCAAAAAAAAAAAAGAAUUUCAAAUAUCAUAACAGUAAAGAAUUGAAGAUUUCUUUACUCGAAUGUUAGAAGAAUAUGAAGAUACCUGUUGACUGUUACGCAGGAAAUCAAGAUUACCAGCUCCAGCACCAGCAUCUGCAGCGGGCAUGCCCUGGGUGAAGACAAAUAAGAGUGGAUGUCAUAAAAUAAAUCCAAAGGAAAAGAGUAAAUUGAACUAGGUCAAGUACACUAUUUUUGUGAGUUAAGAUUUUACCUGAGGAAACAGGUUUAGUGGAUUAGCAUUUGGACCACCAGUUGGGGGCACUGGAGCAGCUUCUUGUUGGGGCUGUGCUAGAGGAUUUGCUGCCUGUCCACCAGUAGCUGCGGCUGGAGCGACUGCAGGGAUUUCAGCCUGAGCAGGGAUACCCUGAAAUGUAUCAAACCAAAGUUCAAUAGACUACACAGAGCAAAGGUAACUACAGUUAUGGCAAACCAAAUGUAACUACACAAAUAACAAAGAAAAAAACUAGAAUCAAGGUGUGGAAUGUAGCAUACCGAGUACAGAUAUUCAACAGCUCUUUCAGGAUUGUUGAAGGCAGCUCUCAGGGCUCGAAUAACAGUGUCACGGUCCCAACUACCUCCACCCAUGUCAAGAAUUUGCUGGACUGUUGACUCUAAAUUAGUUCCAGCAACAAGGUUUGAGGCUGCGUGACCAUAAACAUCUGUUUGAGUCCUGUUUCAAUCAACAAGAAAAGAAAGUAGAAGUUAAUUGAACACUAAUCAGGGUAAGACGAAAUUCGACAAAAGGUAUACAGCAGUUCUAAAAGCACUCACGAAACAGCAGCAGCAGCCGGCGCUGCAUCGGUUGCAGUUCCACUAGUAGGCUCUGGACUGCAAAAUGCAAGCAAGAGUACAGCAAAUUAGCAAAGAGGCAUAACAAAGUGAUUCAUCAACAGAAGAGGUAAAUUAAUGUGAGGGGAAGGCCUGGAACUCACACUGAGACAGUUGGAGCAGGAACCUGAGGAGCAGAAACCGGAGGUGCAGCUACUGUCCGUGCAGGCUGAGCCUAAAAAUCCAAGCAAUUCAAUCAGACAAACUAAAACUGUAAUCUAGAUACGAUAUUCUGUUUGUUUUCAAUUGCAAAUAGAAAGCUUCAAAAGCUGAGUGAACCAUAGCAAAGUUCACACAAAAAAAAAAAAUAUUCACCUGAGUAGCACUAAGUGGUGGCGCUGGUACUGGUGUAGAUGAGGCCCCAGCUGAAGAAACUUUAGCCUAUAUUUCAUCAAAAACAAGAUCAUUAGUAUAACGAGUUAGCCUCCAGUAAUUACUAGAAUCCUGUUAGUGAUACUAAAAAUGAAAGAGCAUCAAACCUUGGACAGCAUGAUAACAAUGAAACUUUUCUCAACAACGUUGUUCUCUGCCAAUGUAGUCUCAUCCUUGAGAACCUUUCCUUGAUGGAUCAGCAUCUGCUGAGCAGCGGGGUAUUGCUCACCAUGAAUGGUUUCUAUACUUUUUUUAACAUCAGAGAUCUGAGAUAACCACCAAAAUGUUAAUAUGCAUCUCAACGUUAUAUGAAACACCAAAGCCAGACAGUAUAAGCAUUUCAUGGCACAGUUACAAAUCAAAGAAACAUCCUCAGAAGAUAUGAGACUAGCAACAAAACAAUUAAGUCGCACCAACGAAGAUUUCACAGAUAUCUAUCUAUCAGGAUGUCAGAUAAUUCCUUAAGUGCCUUAAGAUUCGUUAAGCAAACAUAGUCUAUGAAAUCUUCUACAGAUGAAAAACCCAGAUGGGAUCCCCAGUAUAAUUGGCUAUAUCAUACUCUUAGAGAAGCAAACUUAGAUUCCAGAAAGAUCUAGAAAAUAAUCCGAUUCAUAAUGAAAAACACGAAGCCAAAGAUAAAAUGCACUCUCAAUUAGUCCAAAAGUUAACCCAAAGCCAAAACUAUCACCAAACUUAAAGACUCACAACAAAACCCUAAUUCGAAUCCCAAUCCGUUCACUUAAACGAAACCACGAAUCGUCACAAAGAAAUCUCAACCAGAAAACACAGUACGUCGCAAACGAAACCCAGAAUUUCAAAUCAGAGAGUCGUGAGAUUCACUAUUUCAAACCCAAUUUCUCCACUCAAACCAUAUAAUUACGGGAACAAAAUCAGACCUAAUAAUCAGUUAAAACGCAAUAAGGAAAAAGAAGAUUUCGAAUUCAGAUGUUGAGUUUACCGUAUCCGUCUCAUUUACUUCGAUCUCGAAGUUCGUCCCCUUGAGAGUCUUCACGAAAAUCUUCAUCGUUUUAGGAAAAAACUUGAGCGAAGAGAGAAAGUUUUAGAGAGAGAAGCAAAGUAUAGAGAGAGACCGCUUUUGGGGUCUUGAGUCAGCUUAUAUAUCAACACCAAUUAACAAAUGUUAAUGACUGAUCGCAUACACGCAAGCCUAUACACGUUUGGUGUAUCAAGAAAAUCAUGUGUGGACUAAGAGCCAAUCGUGAUUUUUCAAACCGUUGGAUUAAUAAGGGAGUAUGAGAUGUAGUGAGCAUGUGCACAGGUGAUUAUAAACUCCUCCCAGGAUGGCAGAAUCAACUGAAUUACGGCUUAGGCUUGGAAGUUUAGAUAUUGGCAUGCGAUAUUUACUCAUGUAAAGUUAAUACUACUUUUCUUUUUAUUUAUUUUGUUUUGCUCUGCAAGUUAACUUUUUUACUAAUUAAAACACAUUUCUGAUUAAUAAUUAAAUUUAAAAAUUUAAAACAACGUACUCAAUAUAUCUAUAAAAGUAUUUUUUUUAAAUGUAUACAAUUAAGAAAGUAAAUACUGUAUCUAAACAUAAACAAUAUUUUAGUUUUUGCAAAGAUAUGCAUUUACUCUCAUAUAAAUUAAGCUAUAUCUAUAAGAAGAUUUCCUAUAUAUAGAUUAUACAUAUAUUGCAAGCUUAGAAAUAGUAUAACUUUUAUUGCUACAAUAAAUUUAUCGGAUGAUUCUUAAUUUUUUCCAAAUAAAUAAAUUUAUAUAUCGUCUAGAAAAAAAACUUUAUAACUCUCACAUAAAUUAAGCUAUAUCUAUAAGAAAAUUUCCUAUAUAUAGAUUAUACAUAUAUUGUAUGAUGCGAUCUUCCCAAGGAAUCGGCACUCUAAGGUGGUUUAAUGGAUAAUCCUUGACUCCAAACACUUUCACGGAGAAGAUGCUAAGGCGUGAGAAGUGAUUCCCGAAAAUUCUUAGUCCCAAACUCGCGGUGAAAAGGAAUGAAACAAGGGGGUGAAACAAAGAAAGAGAAAAACACCGGUAAAAGGAUGUUAAGACGUGAGAAAUGAAUUCCCAAAAAUUCCUAAGCCCCAAUUACUACUAACGGAAUUCCCAAACUCUGCAAACGAAGGCUGCUUCAAGUUUUAUGGACUGAACUUGAUAAACCGGGUUGAUCAAUGGAUAACCUCCAUAAGAUCGAAAAAUGAGAAUCACUCUCAAAGGUUCUAAAAAUAAUGAAUCAAAUCUUAUUUCUCCAAAAAGAGAUUACACUUAUUUAUAGGAAUAAAAAACUUGUAAAGAAAGCUAAUUAUUAAAUGAUCUCGAAAAUAUAAGAAGAUUAAAACUAAAUGAAAGGAAAUAAAUAGAGUUAAAAAACUCUUGGCCUUCUUGACUCUUUAUUCAUGACUCUUCACUCCAUUUUCGUCACCUCCUUUGACCAGAAAAAUAAAGUGCUUAUUUUGGGCUCUUCUUGGACUUCUAUCAUUCUUAAAAUGGGCUAGACUCUAUAGGUAACAUCUUGAAUGGAUUUCUUCAUGCUUCUCUUAUCAAAAUCUUCAUAAAUUUGCCCAUUAAGUGCUUCUUUGAACUUUUUAGCAUUUAGCCCUUUUCAUGGUCAUAUCAUCCUCUUCCUCUUCAAAAGGAUUUGUCCUCAAAUCCAUAUCUCACAAUGAAACACAUUUUUUUUUAUUCCUCUUUUUUUUUUAUUUUCAUUUUUUUUUAACUCUGUUUUUUUCUUUUUUUUUCUUUUUUGUUUAUGAAAAAAAUAAACAAAUAAAACAUAAAUAAAAUAAAAUGGAAGAAAAGAAGAUGAAAUGAUAGAAGAUGAAAGAAAGAAGAUGAAAAGAUGAGAAAAAUGAAAAGAAGAAAAUAAAAAGAUAAAAAAAAAAUAGAAAGAUAUAAACCAGGCUUAGAGUGUUGCUCUGAUACCAAAUGAUGUGAUCCUCCCAAGGAAUCGGCACUCUAAGGUGGUUUAAUGGAUAAUCCUUGACUCCAAACACUUUCACGGAGAAGAUGCUAAGGCGUGAGAAGUGAUUCCCGAAAAUCCUUAGGCCCAAACUUGCGGUGAAAAUGAAUGAAACAAGGGGGUGGAACAAAGAAAGAGAAAAACGCCGGUAAAAGGAUGUUAAGGCGUGAGAAAUGAAUUUCCGAAAAUCCUUAAGCCCAAUUACUACUAACAGAAUUCCCAAACUCUGCAAACGAAGGCUGCGUCAAGUUCUAUGGACUGAACUUGAUAAACCGGGUUGAUCAAUGGAUAACCUCCAUAAGAUCGAAAAAUGAGAAUCACUCUCAAAGGUUCCAAGAAUAAUGAAUCAAAUCUUAUUUCUCCAAAAAGAGAUUACACUUAUUUAUAGGAAUAGAAAACUUGUAAAGAAAACUAAUUAUUAAAUGAUCUCGAAAAUAUAAGAAGACUAAAACUAAAUGAAAGGAAAUAAAUAGAGUUGGAAAACUUUUGGCCUUCUUGACUCUUUAUUCAUGACUCUUCACUUUAUUUUCGUCACCUCCUUUGACCAGAAAAAUAAAGUGCUUAUUUUGGACUCUUCUUGGACUUUUAUCAUUCUUAAAAUGGAUUGAACUCUAUAUGUAACAUCUUAAAUGGAUUUCUUCAUGCUUCUCUUGUCAAAAUCUUCAUAAAUUUUUCUUAUUAAGUGCUUCUUUGAACUUCUUAGCAUUUAGUCCUUUUCAUGAUCAUAUCAUUGUAGGCUUAGAAAUAGUAUAACUUUUAUUGCUACAAUAAAUUUAUCUGAUGAUUCUUAAUUUUUUCCAAAUAAAUAAAAUUAGAUGUCGACUAGAAAAAAAAACUUUAUAUAUCUUUAAUUAGUUGAGUAUAAUAAUGGAUGGACAGGUCUUUAAAGUAACAUGGAUUUUACACAUAUUCUUAAUAUAUACUUAGAUUUUGAGAUAUGCUACGCGUUGGUAGUUUUUUAAUGCUAAUAUGCUAUCAUAUUCAUAGAAAUCAUAUUUAAGAAGUUAUAUUUAUUUAGAUAUUAAUUUAUUGUAAUAAAAUUUAUCAAAAGUAAUUCAGUUUUAAUCUCAAAAUUUAUAUAUCGAUUUUGAGGUUUCAACAAUCUUGUUUGUAUUUAUAUAUGUGUCGUUUAAACAACAUAUUAUUUUGUUGAACUCUUAACAUUUUGUAUACCAAAAUCUACUCAAAAUAUAACAAACUAAUUAAAUAGUACUUAUUUAGUAUUAACAUGAAGAUAAAGUACUAUACAUCACUUAUUAAUCAAGAAAAUAAGUAUUUUUCAUUAGUUGCAUCUUUGUUAUGUAUGCUUUUUAUAAAAAAAGAUAAAAUUAAAAUUUAUUCUCUUUUCUUAGCUAGUUUAGUUGAUAAAAUUUUCUAAUUUAUUCUAAAUUAAAAAUAAACUAAUAAAUAUAAUUUUUGCUUUCAUAUAUUUCAGUAAAUAAAUAUAAAAUAAAAUUUUAAACUAAUUUUAAACCACAAAAAUCGAUGAAUUCAAUAUAAAUUUUAGUUAAUUUUAUUUUAAAUUGGUAAAUACCAAAUCUUUUGUCAAGUAACAUAUUGUGUGUGAUAGCUUCUAAAUGUUUUUUUACUGACAACCACAAAAGGCAAAUAUUUUUUCCUUACUUUACUGUUUAAUGAGUAAAAAGUAUACUUGAUAGCAUUUAAUUGCUUCUUAAUAAAUUAUUAAAUUAAUUUUUGAUAUAUAUUAAAAUAGAUUUCACAAACUUUUUGACACCCUAAAAUUAUGUUUAAACUACCAAUUAUCUUCACAUAUUAAUAUAUGUGUUAUUUUUAUUUUAUAAUAAAUAUUAUUUUAAUUAAUUUUAUAAUUUCAACUUGUAUAAAUAUUUUUAAAUUCUUCUAAUGCUUGUAGGUUAGUAUACUAAAAAACAACUAAAAACAAUAACCAAAAUAAUCAAUUACUAUUUAAUAAAAAUAGUAUUGACACGAAAAAUUAGUAUAUGGUUCUUUUCUAAUAAAAUAAAAUAAGAUUUUUUAAAAUAUUUAAUUUCAUUCUGUUUAUAUCAGUUUUAUAAGAAAACUGAAAAACAAUUUUAAAAUUUACUUUCAUUCUUUAAUUGAUUGCAUAUUAUUUUUAUAUCUAAGUAAAUUUGUAUUUUGUUUAAAAAAUAUUCUUAAUUUAAUAUUAUUUUAUUUUUUUGUUAAUGAAAUUUUAAUACAUAUUUUCCUUAUUCUUUUAUAUAUUUUAUUAACAAUAAUUUUAAUUUUCGAAACUUUCUUAAUUUUAAGUGUUGAUGUGGACCAAUAAAAUUACCCUUUUUAAUUAUAUGUGGACACUAUUAGAGGCAUUUAGCUUCAACUUUUUAUUAGUAAUAAUAGGAUUAUUUUAUUUUAUUCAAUAACUCCUUAUACUAUUCAAUAACUCACCCCACAGUAAUAUUGACCCUUUAUCAAAAAAAUAAAAACACAGUAAUAUUAUGCUCUUUAUUUUUAAAAAUAUAUAAAAAAAUAUAGGAUUUUGUGACUUUUUUUGUUAUUCUAGAUUCGCCUGAAAAAAGAUAAUUGCUGCUAAUUUUGCAGUUUUGUGGUGUAGCUACAUAUCUUUUCAUCGUAGAGUCGUUUGUAACAAUGGGUCUAAUUGGUGAUCACGUUUGAAUAAGACGGUUAGAGAAUUUUGAGCGAUUCUAACAAAAGCGGUUAGAGAUAGUGGUUACAAAAGAUCGUUUGGUAACAGAAAGCGGUUUAAUAUUAACCUUGAUUGGUAACAUUACAGCGGUUGAAUAGUAUAAUUAUAUAAAAUUAGUAAGAGUGCGUUACCACUUGGGGCACUUUUUGAAAGAUAAUAUGUAUAGACACUGUUUAGGGGAUUUUUGGUCCUCUUGUGGGGGCAAGUCUCCUGCAAAACGAAGAAACACGUGAAGGCUCGGAAAACACGAUGGGGGUGUGUUUUCCAAAAGCAGCUUUUGAAAAGCUCUCUGACGUUCAAGUCAAAAAACAACAAAAAAGAUCACUAAGUGGCUAAUUGGAGAGCAGAAAAGAUCAGAAAACUAAAUAAGGAAAUUAGGUCGAGCGUUCUUGAGAAUGGAGGAAUCGACUCAGGCCUUUAGUGGUGAUUGGUUUUUAUCGUGAAAAGAGAAGGAAAAAAAAGUUUAUUGGUGGAAAAGCUCCACGGCUUAGGGACCACCGUGGAGAGGAAGUGGAGAAAUGGUCGGAAUAGUGACCAGAAAGUAUAAAGUGUUAGCGUCUAAGACUCACAAGUAUCUAGAGAGAUAUUAUGAGCUUUAGGAUAAUUAAAAGUGUGUGUGUCCCCCCUCCUUGUUGGAAGGAUAAAGUAUUUAUAGGAUUGUACCUGACCUGGGUUGGUAUAUCGGGUCGGUCUGCAAAUUGUGAAUCGAGUGGGUCGGUCUAGGAUCCGACUUGACUGAGUUCAAAUUUUGUGCUUGCGUCACACUUAUGACGGUCUCACCAACUUUCCUUGGCAUGUUCUGCCUGCUACAAGACCGCUCCUUGGUGCGUCCCUUUUGCCUUCAGUGUAUGGGUUAGGUCAGUGGUUCGGGCGUGGUAUGGCUCUCGCUGAACCUCUGCUUUUCCCUCUGAAUCCUGCGAAAGGUCACUGUCGUCUGACACGUAUAAGAAAGAUACAUUAAAUGCCAAUCUCGUGGGUUUGUAAGGAUAUAUGUAAUCAAAUCAGACUAAGGCAUAUUUCUAUUGUCGAAUGGAGGGAAAUUUGAAUAAUGUUUCUCGUUUAUGCAUUUACUUAUACUUGGCCUCGAUCCCUCGGUUUUCAGUUUAGUAUCUUUCCAAAAUUAUUUUUAUUAUUAAUUAUUUUGAAUUAGUAAUUUUUAUAUUUAGAAUAAUAAUAUAGUUUUUUAUGUUUUUAUAAUUAUAUAUUAUGUUUUCUUAUAAUUUUAUGUUUAACCGCUAAUACAUCCGCUGGUUAGCCAAUCAAAAAUGUCUCGCAAACGGAUCCGCUUUCAAUAGUUAAACCAGUCAUUCAAACUGUUUAAUAAUAUUCAAAACCACAAUCGCCUGCUUUCGCAAAUUUUUGCUUAACUGCAACCGCUGCGUUUAAACCUGUCAAACCCUAAAUGUUCCUCUUUAUUGUUUGUGGAUCUCAUUCUCUUUAUUUUUUUUCUUUUUUAAAGAUGAAAUGAUGUAAGAUUAAAUCAAUGGUAUGGCUGUCCAAAAUGAGAGCAAAGUAUAAGAUAGCUCCAAAACACUUUGGUGCUUAUAAUGGACAUAAAAGUCUCAAUAAAUGUCUUUGGUGGUAAUUAUCUCAAUUAAUAAUUUGUUUUGAUAAUUAUUUGUAAAAUAAUACAAUAAUAUAUAAAUGCAACCGCUGCGUUUAAACCUGUCAAACCCUAAAUGUUCCUCUUUAUUGUUUGUGGAUCUCAUUCUCUUUAUUUUUUUUCUUUUUUAAAGAUGAAAUGAUGUAAGAUUAAAUCAAUGGUAUGGUUGUCCAAAAUGAGAGCAAAGUAUAAGAUAGCUCCAAAACACUUUGGUGCUUAAAAUGGACAUAAAAAUCUCAAUAAAUGUCUUUAGUGGUAAUUAUCUCAAUUAAUAAUUUGUUUUGAUAAUUAUUUGUAAAAUAAUACAAUAAUAUAUAAUUUAAAUUUUAUGAUAUAAAAUUUCAAUAAACAUAGAUUACAAUUAUUAUCUUAAAACUUUCAAAAAUGAUAAAGUUUUUGAUAAUUUUAAAAUGCACAACUAAUCUCUGAUUUUUUUGUUGAAUGACUUAAUAUACAAACAUAUCUUUUUUCUGAUUCUUUUAUUUUUAUCUCGAGUAAAUUGAAUUGAUUAAAAUUAUUAAAAUUAACAUACAUAUACACAUACAUAUACUAAUGAAAAAAAAAAAGCAUACAAUUGUAAUAUGUAUCAUUGCAAAUCUAAAAAGCCAACAAUACAAAACCAUAAAUUUCAUCUUUCUUUAUAAAAAACUUCGAUUACAACCAUUCAUUUGCUUCAAAUGUUCUUUUUCAGUUUUAACCGUCCGAAAAUCAACAUUAAAUCGUCUGAAUUAUCUUCCAACCGCUUAUUUCAAACGCUGGUUAAUGGUUAUAACCAUGAUCUUAAAUGAUAUCUCCAACCGUCUUUUUUGAUUUUGUAGCAUUUUUCUAACCACCCAUUCUAACCAUCCAUUUCAACCGAGCGGUUGAUGCUACCAAUCAGAGCCAAUGUUAAUAAAAAUUUGCAAGUAAUUAAUUAAAUCGAUCGACUAAUCAUCAUUUUAUAAUAAAAUUAGAUCAAAAUAUUAUGAUGCUAGUGUCGACUAAAAAAAAUAGACUGAUAAAAUUCAAAACCCGAUCGGAACAUUUUGGUUCCAAUCGACCGUCCAAACACUAAACCAAAGGCUCGACUUUGCCGGAGACAGAGAAAACAAAGAUGCCAAAGAAUAAGCCGGCAAAAUUUUCCGGCAAUGACAACGCCGCUCCGGCAUCGACGCAAUCCGGAGCUUCAAUCGAUGCUUGGUGGUGGUUAGCACAUAAAGGAACCACCGCUUCUUUCCUCUGUAUCUCCCUCUUCGCAUUACUGAUCCGAUCUGCUGUAUCGUUGUACCCGUACUCCGGCGCCGGAACCCCACCUAAAUUCGGCGAUUUCGAAGCUCAGAGACAUUGGAUGGAGAUAACCACAAAUCUCCCGACCAUCGAUUGGUACAGAAACGGCACUUACAACGAUCUCACUUACUGGGGACUCGAUUAUCCUCCAUUGACAGCUUACCAGAGUUACAUCCAUGGGAUUUUCCUCCAAAUGUUCAAUCCCGAGUCCGUUUCUCUUCUAAGCUCUCGUGGUCACGAGUCCUAUCUUGGGUAAGCGUCAAAAACUCUUAUUGUGAUCUGAUCUUCACAGAGAUCAAAUGUUGAAUCUAGCUAUGUGUUUCCAGAUUCUCCUUCGUUUGUUGAUUGUUGUGUGUUUAGGUUAGCUAAUUGGAGUCACAUUUGGUUUCUUUUGGUGCAGGAAAUCACUGAUGAGAUGGACAGUUUUAUCGUCUGAUGCUCUCAUAUUCUUCCCGGCUGCUUUCUUUUUCGUGUUAGUGUACCAUAAGACUCGAAAUGGGAGCUCCAAGAGUGAAGUGGCAUGGCAUAUCGCUAUGAUUCUCUUAAACCCUUGUUUAAUCCUCAUUGAUCACGGCCAUUUCCAGGUUUGUAUUGUGAUUCUACAACCACAUUCUCUGGCUGAGUGAUGAUUCUCAUUAGGAUUUGGAUUUGUUUUAGUACAAUUGUAUCAGCUUGGGACUUACAGUGGGUGCUAUUGCUGCGGUGCUCUAUGAGAGCGAGGUUCUCACUUGUGUUUUGUUCAGUCUAGCUCUCAGCCAUAAACAGGUAACUUUUGGGAUUCCAUUUCUAUAUUCUUAUGUUUAGAGUGUUUUAUUUGCAGAUGAUGUGAUAUGUAAUGGAUUUUACGAAUUUCAUAGACUGAAAACUAAUUGGUUCUAGUUCCUUGGUAUAUAUGAUUAUAAAUGUGUGAUAUAUGCAGGUUAUACUACCUUUACGUCAAAAUGUCUAAUUUUUUUUCGGUAGUAAUGUAGUGUUCAUGGCAUCGUGCCUUCCGUACAAUGUUUUAGGCAUACAUCAUCGUUAAUCUUUAGCAGUUCUUAAUAUUUACUAAUCUCAUAGACUGAAAACUAGAUGGUUUCAGUUCCCUUGCGAAUCUGAGUACAAAUGUGUGAUGUAUACAGGUUGCUAUCGUGACAUUAAAAAAUUCUAUUUUGUUGAGGUAGUAGUGUAGUGUUUUAUGGCCAUAGGUAGUUCCUAUACAAUAUUGUUAAUCAUAGGAUUGUUGAUAUGUCCAUUUAUCUAUGUAUGUACCUCUUGAUAGUUUCAAAUUUCCUGUCCCAGUUUAAUAACAUGUUGCUCAUACUGUCUCACCUUGUCGAAUGUUGCAGAUGAGUGCAUACUUUGCUCCUGCCUUUUUCAGCCAUCUGCUGGGUAAAUGCCUAAGACAGAAAAGCCCCAUACUUGCUGUCCUAAAGCUUGGAAUUGCAGUUAUAGUGACAUUUGUUAUCGUCUGGUGGCCAUAUUUGCAUUCUUUGGACGAUUUUCUAAUGGUAAAUACAUAUUUGAUCAUUUCUCGAGAAAGAAAAACUAAAAUGAUAUCUAGUAGAAGUAAGAAAUUGAUCUUCUUGUUUCCUCCUCUGGUGUAAAUUGCUCAUAGCUGAUUGGUUUCAUUCGUUUCCUUGCUCAUUAAUGUGAAUCAAAUUGUUGAUGACGCAGGUUCUCUCUCGCCUUGCUCCAUUUGAGAGGGGAAUAUACGAGGAUUACGUGGCAAAUUUCUGGUGCACCACUUCCAUUCUCAUAAAAUGGAAAAAACUAUUCACAACACCAUCCCUCAGGUCUUUAAGCUUAGCUGCAACUGUAUUGGCUUCUCUCCCUUCAAUGGUUCAGCAAAUCUUGUCACCGAGCAAUGAAGGUUUCCUAUAUGGCCUGCUCAAUAGUUCAAUGGCUUUCUACAUGUUUUCCUUCCAAGGUAUGCAAAAAUAUUGCAAGUUGAUCUGCAUUAUCCACAAGCUAUUCAUCAUUUAUGCCAGCAAUUACUAUCUAACAUUCCUUCUUUUUUUUUUGUUAAUUUUGUUUCUCUCUGCAGUGCAUGAGAAAUCAAUCCUGAUGCCUUUUCUCUCUGCUACACUAUUAGCUCUCAAAAUCCCUAACCAUUUCAAUCAUUUAACCUAUUACGCUCUCUUCUCGAUGUUCCCUCUUCUUUGCCGUGACAAACUCUUGCUUCCUUACUUAACACUACAUUUGCUCUUUACCGUCAUCUAUCAUUCACACGAGAAUCAUCAUGCGAAACAGAAAACUAAAGCUUCAUCAUUCUCCUUUACCAACUUCCCGGGCUAUGUUUUCCUGCGUAGAACCCAUUUCUUCAUCUCCUUGGUUCUUCAUGCCGUUUACCUCACCAUUCAACCUCCUCAAAAGUACCCUUUCCUAUUCGAAGCACUGAUCAUGAUCCUCUGUUUCUCAUACUUUAUAAUGUUUACCCUUCACACCAACUAUACACAGUGGACUUUGUCGAGUCAUUUCAGGUCCGGGGAGAAAGAAAAGAAACAAAUCUGAAGACAGAACACAGAACUCUUUAGCCAGGUUCUUUAUCGCAGUUGCAUUAUGUCUUGGCCAAACUGAAUUUAGUUUAAGUUCUGCUUGCUGAACCAAGUCAAGAUCAUCACGGUAGAGUAGACUCAAGCUAGACAGAACCGGUUUACACAAACCGGUGGUUUAAUCAUCGGACUUUUUGUAUUGGUCCAAGUCUAGUAAAUGUUGGUAUAGAUUCCAAUGCCUAAAAUUGUGUAGCAUAUAAUUUUGAGGUAAAGAUUGAGCCUUUUAUGAAAGGAAACAUAAUCUUUUUAUGAAAAAAAUUGUGUUGUCAAAUCAUUUCCCGAAUUUUAUAGCUCCACAGGUCUUAGCAAUCAGAUGAAAUUUUUUAUGUUGUCCCCUUAAUGAUGGUCAGGAUCGAACUUUUUAUACAACUGUUGACACUUUAACGUACGGCCAGGAUAAAAACUUUUUGUGUAGUAAUGUGAUAUUGAAGAGUGAAUAAAUUUAACAUUAUGAAAUACCAGUUUAUUUCUAUAUUCUAAGUACAUCUAGCAAUUUUGUGAGAAAAUGUCUAACAUCAAAAGUGAAGUUGUAACGUAUAUACUAUAUCAGUAUGAGUCUUUUUAUUCAUUGUCAAUUGGUUUUUAUAUUUUAGGUGAUCGUAUUGUCAUGCUCAUUUUCUUAUCCUUUCGUAACAAUUAAGCUCCACACUUGUUCAAACUCACUAUCCAAAGUUUUGGGUGUUCUACAUAACUCUUUCAAUGGCUUCCUGUAAUUUCUCCACUCGAAAAAGAAGUUACAACCCUAAUAAGUUUGAUGCGUUUAUGCAUCGAUCUAAGUAAGUUUAUUAUUUGUACUAAUGGUUUUAUGCGUGUAUAAUGCGUUCCUCUAAUCAAAAAUAGACGUGACAUUAAAGGCAAGGCAUAUAUGAUAUUUGUAUAUCUCAUCAAGCCUUUUAUUUAUAUUCCUUGGUGAUAUUUUCUCGUAGAAGUAUCAUCGUCGAUUUGUGUAAUUUUAUGGUAAAUCAAAGCACUAGAUACCUACGGGAAAUCAAAGAACGAGUCUAUAUUGACAAGCUUAUUCCACUAUUAAAUCAAAUAUAUCCAAGAUCUCUAAUCAUGUAUGAUAUUUAUAAAUCUCAGUGGCUAUUUUUGCUGAGAUUAUUAUGAUAUAAAAUAUAGUUCUCUUGCUUCUCGCGUACAUAUAUUUUGAAGAUUCGCAAUCUUUACCCAAUACAUAAAUAAUUAUCUCUGUAGCUCGAUACCUUGGCUUUUGUUAUUUGUUGCAAGAUCUUCUUUUGAAUACAGAAAGUUUAUGAAUCAAAUUAAAUCUUUAUCCUUUAUCAGAAACAACUUGUAUCUUUAUAUACAAGCAAUUUUUCUGAUUUCAUCUCCAAAAGAAAAUUAUUAUCCAUAUAGAAACAAGAUAAUUCUUGAAUUUCAAAGAUUGGUUUACGAGAUUGGCUAGACGUGGAUGUUAACAUGGUAUAGACAUUGUUUCAUUUUGAAUUCAAAUUAUAAACACUAAAUCUAUAGCGUAUCAUCACGAUUUAUAUAGAUUUAUAAUUUUAAAACAAUCUGUAUGACAGAUGAAACUUGAUAUUAUUUUAGUCAGAAAACUUAUGGUUAUACUGAUACACUAGGUGUUUAGCCCACGACUUGCGCGGAUCGAAAAGUUUCAUUAAAAUCUAAAAUAAAAUUUUAUGUCAUAAAUAAAAAAAAAUUAGAUCAAGAAUUUGAUACAUACAAAAUUAAAAUAAAACUAACCUAUACAAAUAAUCAUUGUCUAACAUUAAAAACUUUAAAAUCAAUAUGUAUGAAAUCAAUAAACACAAACUAAAAUAAGAUUAAUAUGAAUUAUUCAUCUUUUCCUCUUUUUAUCUUUUAAUUUUUUUUCUCUAUCAUUUUCUUCUUCUUUUUUUUUUUGUUUUUUUUCUUCUUCACUUUCUAUGUUUUUUUUUUACUUUUUAUUCUGCUGAUUUUUCUUUUUUCACGUUUUCUUCUUCUUCUCCACAUCUUUUCCUUUUUCCUCUUAUACAUCUUUUGAUUUUCUUCUCUUCCAGGUUUUAUUUCCUUUCUUCUUCUUCUUCAAUGUUUUAUUAUUCUCUUUCUUCUUCUUUUUUUCUUUUCCUUUUUCAUUGCCAUCGUCUUCUUCGUUAUCAUUGACUUUNNNNNNNNNNNNNNNNNNNNNNNNNNNNNNNNNNNNNNNNNNNNNNNNNNNNNNNNNNNNNNNNNNNNNNNNNNNNNNNNNNNNNNNNNNNNNNNNNNNNNNNNNNNNNNNNNNNNNNNNNNNNNNNNNNNNNNNNNNNNNNNNNNNNNNNNNNNNNNNNNNNNNNNNNNNNNNNNNNNNNNNNNNNNNNNNNNNNNNNNNNNNNNNNNNNNNNNNNNNNNNNNNNNNNNNNNNNNNNNNNNNNNNNNNNNNNNNNNNNNNNNNNNNNNNNNNNNNNNNNNNNNNNNNNNNNNNNNNNNNNNNNNNNNNNNNNNNNNNNNNNNNNNNNNNNNNNNNNNNNNNNNNNNNNNNNNNNNNNNNNNNNNNNNNNNNNNNNNNNNNNNNNNNNNNNNNNNNNNNNNNNNNNNNNNNNNNNNNNNNNNNNNNNNNNNNNNNNNNNNNNNNNNNNNNNNNNNNNNNNNNNNNNNNNNNNNNNNNNNNNNNNNNNNNNNNNNNNNNNNNNNNNNNNNNNNNNNNNNNNNNNNNNNNNNNNNNNNNNNNNNNNNNNNNNNNNNNNNNNNNNNNNNNNNNNNNNNNNNNNNNNNNNNNNNNNNNNNNNNNNNNNNNNNNNNNNNNNNNNNNNNNNNNNNNNNNNNNNNNNNNNNNNNNNNNNNNNNNNNNNNNNNNNNNNNNNNNNNNNNNNNNNNNNNNNNNNNNNNNNNNNNNNNNNNNNNNNNNNNNNNNNNNNNGUAAGAGAAGGAAUCGGGUCUUUAUCUGCUGGGUUACGGGGGCAUUUUACCAGAGGUUUAGAUUGUAUCAGUGUGAUUCCUGUUGAAUCAUAUACUGCGGGGCGCAGGGCGGACGAUUUCAAAGCGGACUCCAUCUUUAAAACAAGCAAAAAGAAACAAAAGACUUAAAACCUGUUCAUUAGACAAUGAAGAUGAUUUAUGAUAUGUUGACAUGGUUUUAAUCACGUUAAGUAAGGAAGAAUAACUGACAAUACAAAACAACAACAUAUAAUCGAGGAACACUACUAUUGGUACUGAAAAAACGGAAAAAACAAUAGAAAAAAACAAAAAUUUGAUUUAUAAAAAAUAAAGACGGUAAACAAUACAACAAAAAGCCAACCAAUGUAGAAACCAAACCACAAUUGAGCUUAAGAUACAUUUAAAAAAGUAAUAUAUUUAUAUAUAGCUCUCAACUUAAGCUAGGAUUUCCCACAUCACAUGUACAUUUUUUUUUCAGAUAAUCUCGCUCAACAGAUAAUCCGAUUAACGAAUAAAAGAGAAUUAAAAAGAUUUUAUUAAUGAAUAAAGGGGAAUUAGUUACCUAGAUAGAAUGAGAGACCUUAUAGCGAAAAAUUUACUUUGCAUAUAUUAUAUAUGAUAUGAUUCUAAAUGUCUUUUUUAUUAAAUUCCAAUUUUUAAAUUUUCGUUAUUUUCUAUUUUAAAUAUUUUUGAUUAAAUUUCGAUUUUUAAUAAUUUUUAUUAAAUUUAAAUGUUUUUUGAUUAAAUUUCGAUUUUAACAGUUUUUUUAUUAAUUUACGAUUUUUAAUAUUUUAUUUAAUUACGAUUUUUAAUAUUUUUAUUUAAUUAUGAGUUUUAGUAUUUUUAAUUAAUUUACAAUUUUUAAUAUUUUUGUUAUUAAAAUGAAUUUAAAAAUAUAAGAAAGGGUAAAGGGUAAUUAGGGAAAAUUGGCUAAUUCAGACCUAAACUUUUGGAAAGUGUUAAAGUUAGGCUUGAACUAUUUUUCUGGUUAAAACAUACUUAAACAUUAUAACUAUUUGAAUUUCAUCCGUAAUCUAUGUGUAUUGUGCUUAAAUAAAUUUGUCCAUAGGUGUUAACGAUCCGUUAAAUCACGUAUAUGUGGCAUCAACGUCAGCGAUGACGUCGUUUUGGACUUAUCAAGUUUAACAAGUAAAGUACAUAAAGCGAUGUCGUUUAUAUCUUCUUCAACCCUUCGAUACUUGACAUAUCGACGACUUAGGGAUUUAAAAAUCAAAUUCUUCAGUCUUUGGAUUGUUUUUCGCAUUCAAUGUCUUCUUCUAGUAGUUCAGGUAAAUUAAAAAUUUGUCCCUCUUAUGUGUUUGUUAGUGUAUUACGUUGUGAGUAGAUUUCUUUUUUCUUUUCAUCCGAUAACUAACGCCAAUUCUUUUUUUGAAGUAAUCUCCUUCAAGCGGCACAGACAUCAGAACUUCGGAGACGUAUCAAAAUCCGGGGAGACUAUUCUAUUGUUGUCCGUAUGGAUCGAAUGAGGUAAUGUAUAGUCUCUGUUAAUUAAUUUGUUCUUUCUUUUGAUGUCAGUGACCCAUAUAAAUCGAGUCUGUUGUAUUGUUGUUAGGAUAAAAAUCAUCUGUUCAAGUGGACAGAUGUUUCUAUCGUCGAAGAGGUUGAACGCUUUCGACCUGAACUUGAAGCAUUGAAAGUAGAAGCCGCCGGAUUUGAGAAGGAGAUUGGAGAGUUAAAAGCUGAUGUCUGUUCCUGCAAAAAUGAGAUUGAAAAGCUUAAUGCAGUCAUGAGUUUCAUUAAAAAUGUGAUGGUUAGUGGAUUGGUAAUGGGUGUGAUUGUAUUUUACAUUUUCCAUUAGGAUUAUCUGUAGUGUUUUUUGCAUUUUCAAUAACGAUUAUGUGUUGUUCUAGUCUUUGGCAUUGUCAUUUUUGAGCCACAAUUCGUGUAUUUAAAUGAGAACACAAAUCUUUGUCAUUGUCAUGGUUUAGGUUCGACUGUGUAUUGAACUGUUGUUCAAUUUUGUUUCAUUGUGCAAAAUUCUCAUUGUAGAACAAAAAGAAAACCAAAAAUCAGAGUAGAAGCAAUAACAAGAGUCUCAAAAUCCAACCAAAUCCUCUGUCCGCUCAAAGACAUCUUCAAUGAAUCCACCAGAUUUUCAAACAUGGAGGCUGGACGGCUUAUGAGCGUGUUGACCUCUCCUCCAAUGUAUGUCGUUUCGUUUACCAUUGACAUCACGAACUUCCCAUUGUGAUGCACUUGAAACACAGCCUCCUCGGAACUGAAAUGAGAGUUAACAGAUUUUCAGAGUCAAAAAUUAUAUCUCUUGCCGCAAUGAUAUUAGAUGGUGAUUUAGAACCAAUACUGUAUCUAAAACCUAAACCAUAAAGCGAUCUAAUCAAAGCCUCUCAUCAAAUAACAUUAUAAAUCACACUCUAAACCCUAGCUAAUCGAUACAAAAAUAGAAAGAAGAAACACGAACUCAAAGUUUACCUCAUAUCUCCAAGCUCUAUGCAAUAAUCAAAAGCUUACACCACUUCAAAACUCACUUCUCCAAGCCCUAAGUGAUGAUUGCUCUGUUACUUUGUUUCGACGAAGAAGAAGAGAAUAUGAAAGGUUGUGUCGCGGGAUAGAAUGUGUUUUCCCCAAGUUAAGGAACAGACGACAUCGUUUUCACGUUUUUCCCAAAAAACUUAAGAAACCUUAAAUGACGACGUUACUUAUGUGGCCGCCACGUAGACCACGGCUUGACAGAAAACUUAACAGAGUUAUGUUGAAAAUUGGUUUUAGCACAAAGCAUAAAGAUGGAGUACGAAAUUCAAACUAUACCAAAGAUUAAGAAUGCCUUUCAAAUGUUAACAGAGUUCAAGUAUGACAAAGCACAGUACAUAAUGUUUAAGUAUGUUUUAACCAGAAAAAUAGUUCAAGCCUAACUUUAACACUUUCCAAAAAUUUAGGUCUGAAUUGGGCAAUUUUCUGGGUAAUUAGCUAUCCUAAAAUUGAAUGAGAGAGCUUUAACUCAAAAUUUUACUUUGUUUAUAAUGUAUAAUAAAAAUAUAAGAAGGGGUAAAGGGUAAUUAGCCACCCUAUAAUUGAAUGAGAGAGUUUUAAUUCAAAAUUUUACUUUGCUUAUAAUAUAGAUGAUAACAGUUUUUUUUUUUAUUAAUUUACGAUUUUUGAUAUUUUAUUUAAUUACGAUUUUUAAUAUUUUUAUUUAAUUACGAUUUUUAAUAUUUUUUAAUUAAUUUACAUUUUUUAAUAAAUUUUGUUAUUAAAAUUAAUUUAAAAAAUAUAAGAAGGGGUAAAGGGUAAUUAGCCACCCUAAAAUUGAAUGAGAGAGCUUUAACUCAAAAUUUUACUUUGCUUAUAAUAUAUAUGAUAUACAUUUAUUCAAUAUUACGUCAGAAAAUGUAGGGUGAUAAAUCAAAGCUCAAACUUAGAAAUAUUAUACUGUACGUCUUUUGUCUAAAAAUAUCUCUGUAUGUGACAAACACAAACAUAAACAUAAAAUGAAAAACGUAAAGACGGUCUGGUUAGUGGGUUCGGGUGGAAUCUGAAAAAGGAGAGGGGUGACGAGACUUUUGGCUUUCAGGGUUGUCGUAGAAGCCUAUCGGCCCUUUAUGCCGAAUUGGAGAGUCUUUUAUGGGCUAUGUCUUACGUGAAAGAUAGACAUAUUUUAUCUGUACACUUUCAAACCGAUUACUUGGAUCUGGUAAGCAUGUCUGAAUCUCCAUCGGAUUGGCCAUCAUUCUCAUCGGAUUGGCCAUCAUUCUUAUCGGAGUUGGAAGCCUUCCGCAUUCUCCAGAAAAGCUUCUUGGAUUUCACUCUCUCCCAUAUCCCCAGAAGUUCAAAUGUCCGAGCGGAUAGUCUUGCAAAAGGAGCUCGAGCAAAAUAACGUAUUUUCUCCCAAAUCAUUCAUACCGAACCAGUUGAAGACGGUUUCGGACCAAUCCUUUAACGGGCCAAAUGUGAUGUAAUUGUUGGGUUGUGGAAGAAAAAAAAUGAAAAACGUAAAGAAAAUAAGAGAUUGGUUAAUUUUAAUGACACCAAUGUGAGUGAUGUCCUUCGACAAUUAUCUAAUGGUCAAAUCUGUAACAAGACCAAAAUGUUGAAGUACACAUAAUUUCUCGAACGAAUUGACUUUGUUGCGAGUCUGAUGUUUAGACGACCUGUUUGGCUCUAUUAUGAAUGAGAAAGCUGAUAUGGUUAAUCUCUACGUUCUUCUUAAUUAUAGUGGCCUUGUUAGUUAAUGCCUUCAAACUUUUUUUUUUUAACGUCUGAAUUUGCAUUAACCAAAGGGGAAGAUUAGUACAAAAGCCAAAGGCUGAAAACAGAGCAUCAACCACCUAAGGGAAGGGUUUAAAGAUGCUCCUUCCAUAUUAACGUAAUAAAUCCUGCAACCAUGAAGGUCCUCCUCUAGCCAGGUAAGAAUUGAACCUGCCAUCUCGGGUGACACUUUGAGAGAUCUCCCUUGCUGCUCUAUUGGCUCCCACCGAUUCAUGUUCAAUAGAACAAAAGGUAAAACCGUUGCAUAGUUGGGCAAUAAGAGUGGUCAAAGAGCGGAAUUUCGGCCAGAGAAGAGGUUUAGAGAUUGCCUCUACUACCGAAUGAGAGUCGGAGACUAGCAAAACCUCUGUGAAGUGUAGGUCACACAAGCUUUGAAUUGCCCAGAUAAUACACCGUAGCUCCGCAAUAAUUCUGUUAGGCGAAGGAGUAAAAGCUUCUCUUGCAUGAAAGAGAACCGAGCCUUGAUGAUCUCGGACGAUCCACGCCCCACCACUGUGUAAAACUUCAUUCCUCCAAUUAGCAUGUAAGUUGCACUUAACCACGCCCAGUGCUGGAGGCUGCCAUUUAGAAUCGACAAGAUUAAAGAAAUUCUUGUUACGAUCCACCAGGCCUGAAGGAUCAUGCAGCUUCGACCAAAGCAAAGCUUCUUCUUUAGCCCUCUGUACAAUUACUGCUGCAGACUCCUGUUUGUUUGCAAAGAAUACCGAGUUCCUGUUUUUCCAUAUUUGACUCUUCUUUUCUCAACUUUAACUAAGGAUAUUUAGCAUGCAUAAUUUUUACUCAUUGUAAAACUAAAAAAAAAAAAACACAGAGGAUUUCUUAACAUGCAUGAAUUUUAGGAAAUUUUAUAAAUUUUAAGUUUAGGAAGAGUUCUACGAAAAGGAAAAUUCUUGUUCGAGGGGGUAAAUGAAUGAAUUCACUCCUAGGGAUGAACCCAAGAAUUGUUCUCUACGAAAAUGUACUAAAUCAUUCAAGAGCAUUUCCUAAACUUUAACGAAGCCUUUUCUAACAUAAAAUUUGUACUAGUUUAAAAAUUCUCUACAUUUAUGAUGUUUGUGAAAUAAAAUCUUGCUUUUAUUUUGGUAAUAAUGUACUGUAUUUCUGUUUAAAAUAUAUAGAUUAAAUGGAAAGGUGUAGUAUUAAUGUAAAAAAUUACCAGAUUCCUUUACUUAUUUAGUUCUCUCAUAACUCCCAUUUGGUUAAAUGUAUAUGCAACAACGAACCAUAAUUAGUACUUCUAGAUUUAAUUACCAUACUUAUAUAAAUAGUAUCUCGUACCCCAUUCCAACAUUAUAAAUACACCAUCUUUUCUCUUUGUCUGUCCUUCUUUAAGAUCUUUCUCUCUUAUCUUUGUUAGUGGAAACUUCAAAAGAAAGAAAGCCAAAAAAAAAAUGUUGCUUACACUAUUAAAAUCACUCCUCGUGAUAUUCGUGACCUUGAUAUUAAGAGUUCUAUACGACACCAUAUCAUGCUACUGGCUAACACCUAGGCGAAUCAAGAAGAUCAUGGGAAGGCAAGGCGUAACCGGUCCUAAACCGCGUCCUCUAACCGGAAACAUCCUUGAAAUCUCGGCCAUGGUUUCACAAUCCGCUUCCAAGGAUUGUGACUCUAUUCACCAUGACAUCGUCGGUCGCCUUUUACCGCAUUACGUCACUUGGUCCAAACAAUACGGUAUGAUCUUAUAAUCUUAAUUAUAAAACUCGGUUACAUGUAAAAUAUUGAUUAAACCAAACGUCAAUAUAUUGCUCCCUUGGCUUGAACAGGGAAGAGAUUUAUUGUGUGGAACGGGACGGAUCCUAGGCUUUGCUUAACGGAAACGGAAUUGAUAAAGGAAUUGCUUAUGAAGCAUAACGGUGUAAGUGGAAGAUCGUGGCUACAGCAACAAGGAACCAAGAAUUUUAUUGGUCGUGGUCUCCUUAUGGCUAAUGGCCAAGAUUGGCACCACCAACGUCACCUUGCUGCACCGGCAUUUACCGGAGAAAGGCUCAAGGCACGUCAAGAAAUUAACCUCAUGCACACAAAAAAAAUGCAAAGUAACUGACUGUUGAAUGACUGAAAUACCCUUUACGAUGCAGGGCUAUGCAAGGCACAUGGUGGAGUGCACGAGCAGGCUAGUGGAGAGGUUGAGGAAAGAAGGAGGAGGAGAGGUUGAGAUAGGGGAGGAGAUGCAUCAGCUCACGGCUGAUAUUAUAUCGAGGACGGAGUUUGGGAGCAGCUUUGAGAAAGGCAAAGAGCUUUUUCACCACCUCACCGUCCUCCAGCGCCGUUGCGCUCAAGCCACCCGCCACCUCUGUUUUCCCGGCAGCCGGUUGGUUUUUCUUCCUCACUCAAAAGUUUCUAGUUUUUUAUAUACCAAUGUGCUUUUCAAUUAUUAACAAUAUGCAGAAAUUCCAAAAUAUUAUAUAUGUGAAUUCGAUACCAUCGAUUUGAAUUACCGAACUAUUUAUUUUAGGUAUUUGGGUUGUGGACAAAAUAAAAAACAAUAUGCAGGAAAAAUUCCAUUAUAAUAUACCAACUAAAAUUUUUAUUAUCAUUUAAAUACACCAAUUUUAAUGUAUUAAAAAAAAAUAUUAGUUAGUUAACUAAAAGUAUACUGCUUUUUGUUCACGUAAAAUUGUAUGUGGUAAUUUUUAUUUUUGUUAAUUGUGAACUUAGUGAUUUUAGAUUUCGAAACUUAGUUUGUGCUUUGAUGUGUCAUUCCCGGGUUUCAAGCAAUUUGUUUUUCUAUGUCGAGCACAAGUAUAUAUCACCCGUUUACUCUCUAACAUGUUUUGUUUCAAAUGACUAUUGCUUUAAAGUUGACCUUAAUUAGUACAGUCAAACCUUGACUUGACAUGGAAUAUUUUGUGUCUAUAGGUUUCUUCCGAGCAAAUACAACAGAGAGAUAAAGUCUCUGAAAAAGGAAGUGGAACGUUUGUUGAUAGAGAUCAUACAAAGCCGGAGGGACUGCGCCGAGAUGGGCCGGAGCAGUACUCACGGCGAUGACCUUCUUGGCCUUCUCUUGAACGAAAUGGAUAGCCAAAAGAACAAUAAUAAGGAUAACAACAAUCUUCAGUUGAUAAUGGAUGAAUGCAAGACGUUCUUCUUUGCUGGUCAUGAGACCACCGCAUUGCUCCUCACAUGGACAAUGAUGCUCCUCGCCGAUAACCCCUCGUGGCAGGAAAAAGUUCGUGAUGAGGUCAGAGAGGUAUGUGGCUGCGACGGUCUUCCCUCGGUUGAUCAACUAUCCAAGCUUACCUCGGUACGUAUUUUCACUCUUAGCUAGAUACAUGAUAUACAACUUAUAACAUCUAAAAUAUAUUGUUCUUACCCAUUAAUUAGAACUAGAAUUCUAAACCUAAGAUCAAUUCUUCUCUUACAAAUUUUAAUUUUUUUGGUUAGAUCCAUCGAGUCAACGUAGGUGUAAAGUUAUAUUAGGUUUGAAUGGUAGCAUCUUCUGAGUAGAUUCUGAGUAGGACUCGAAGGCCACUAACUCAUACACAUAAAAGAUGAUAUUUGUUGUUUGCUCCAAUUUAAUAAGUAUAUAACUAUACAAUAUUGAAACUAAUUAUUUUGUUUGAAGUAGUAGAAUUAGCUUUAUAAUGAUGAAUUGGUGCGGGUGGGGUAUAAACAUUCAACACAGUAUAGGCAGUGCCACUAACUUCAUAGUGCUUCUUCCAUAUCUAAGCUAAUAACAUAGUCACCAAGUCGACACAGAAACCUAAUGAGUAGAUCAUAUCUUCUAGUUUUGUCUUCAUGCUUAAUCUUAGCCGAAAUCAAAUAAAAAGCGUAAUAGAAAUGUGUAGGUUUAUUGAUUUCUACAGAUGUAUUCAUUUUGAAUCAGUCGUUACAUUUUUGUAUCUGGUUUUACAUAAUUCACGUUUCGUCUUAGAAAUAGUUAUUUAAAUAAGAUAUGAUUAACAAUUGGUUAAGCUAGCUUUAAAAUUUGAGAAGAAAUAGAGGGACUGGUACAUAGAUUUUCAGGCAUAAACAAAUGGGUAAAUGAUACAUGUCUUUUGUUUAAUGAUUAGCACUAAGACAUGCUUUGCAUAAAAUAUUAUAUAUGCAAAAAAUCUGAAAUCUGUAUUAACUAAUGAUUAGAUUUUGACAGCUUCAUUGAUAGUCUUUUUCAAAAGGAAAAGUCAAUUCUCAAACUAAAAGAUGUUUGAGAAAGAGUCAAGAGGCACUUCGCAUGAUCAUAAGAUAUGAUUCCAAUAUAAAUUAAUAGAAUAUUUCUCCUAACUAUUUUGUCUUUUUUCUUCCCUUAUACCAGUUAAACAAAGUGAUAAACGAGUCACUAAGACUUUACCCUCCAGCCACUCUUCUACCAAGGAUGGCAUUUGAAGAUAUAAAACUAGGUGAUCUAACAAUUCCCAAAGGUUUAUCAAUAUGGAUUCCGGUCCUCGCGAUCCAUCACAGUGAAGAACUAUGGGGUAAAGACGCAAAUGAAUUCAACCCUGAACGUUUUGGAGGUAGACCAUUCGCUCCUGGCCGCCAUUUUAUUCCAUUUGCAGCCGGUCCUAGAAACUGUAUUGGACAAUCAUUUGCGAUGAUGGAAGCAAAAAUAAUAUUAGCGACGCUAAUUUCGAAGUUUAGCUUCACGAUAUCAAAGAAUUAUAGACAUGCGCCAAUCGUUGUGCUUACUAUAAAACCUAAGUAUGGAGUUCAAGUGAUAUUGAAACCAUUGGAUUUAUGAAGACUUUUGGGGUUAAGAGAUUGGUUUUUAAUGCCUUGGUUAAACGCUGGGAGAGGAAAGAUUUUGGGGUUUGUGAAUUUUUUGAGUAACAUGGGGGAUUUUUAUUGGAAUAAAUGCUAUACGAGAGAAUAUAUGCUAUUCUUUUUCCUCAAAAUACAUUUUCUUUUGUGUUUUUUCUUUCUUUUAUGGGUUUUACGAUAUUAUUUAAAAGUGACGAAAACAACUCAACAGCCUUCAUGUUUUUUUUUCAUAUAUGUUAAAAUAUAUAAGCUAUUUCUUAGAAUUUCUCAAAAAUAUACACGUUUAGUAAAACAUUUUAAACUGAUCCAUGGUAAAAACUAAAAAAAAUGUACAUUUGAUGACAUAAAUUUUCGCACUGAUUUCAAAACUCAUGCAUUAAAAUAUUUUUGCUAUGCCAAAAAAAAAAUGGUAGACUAAGUUGGCAUUCGAAGUGAGAAAGCUCAAAAGAAGAUUUCGAACUAAUAUUUAUUAGACUAACAAAUGAUUGUAAUUUUUUAUAGGCCAAAGCUUAUUUGUUUGAUGUUUUAAUUGAUUCAAUUGAUUCAAUAAGGACGAGUUGCAAGAUAUAAAUAAUCUUCUUAGUAAUAAAUUAAUCACAGAAAGAUAUGAAAGGUUGGGAGUCUCGCGACUGUUGUCUUUGUGUAAGGUCAUAUUUAUUUGCUUUUGAGGCUGCAAAAUGGUAUCAAAUAACCUUUUUGGCAUAUGGGCCAAAAAGCAAUUGUCCAUCGAUCCCCUUUUAUUGGGUUUAGAAAGUGAAGUUGAUAUUCAAUAUUAAUAAAAGUCAUCAUGUUAUAUUGAGAUGGGUUCAAUCUAGAUAAGCUUCUAAUAAUAACAAACAUAAAACAAGAAGUAUAAUAAUCAAAGAAACAAAAAAAGUGAUUAGGGAUGGGGGAAAAGGAGUUCAACUUUUAUUUUUGUUGGUUAAGUUUGGUGGCAGCCAUUGCACUUACAAUGACUAAGGUUGAUUCUUGCUUCUUUAUCUUAAAUAUAUUAAAAAGAAAAUGUGGUAGAAGUAAAGCAAUCGGAGUGCAUGGUAGAAAAAGAAUUUUGUAUUGUAUGUCCAUGUGUAGAAUUAGAAAAUAUUGUUAGAAAUUAUAAUAAUAUAACAUAUAUACGCGUAUAUAAAAACAUAUCGUCAUUAUAAUUUUUCUUGAACUGACAAGUCAAAAAAAAUAUCGUCAUACUGUUAGAUACGCUCCAAUAAAUAACUGGAUUGUUGUACAAAUGAUGCAAGAAAAUAUUAAAGGAAUAAUUAUUUGUUCAAUUUUCCGUAACGCAAUCAAUCCGAUGCUAAUUAGUUCUUAGUUGUCAUGAGAUCAGUUAAGCGAUCCCAUUUAGAUCUCUAUGGUCUGUAAUCACUCCGACUACUUGUUUGGAAUGAGAAUUAUGAGUAAUAGUCUUGUAUUCAUAAAAUACACCACAACAAUAUUUUAGCCAAAAAAAAGAAGAAAAUACACUACAAUAGUAUAAACUAUCUAGGAAAUGUAAAUAUUUGUUAUAACAUACACACGCGUAUGCAUCUACAUUUAAAUAGUGAUAUACUGUAUCUUGUUUGACGAAGUUAAGCAAAUAUCCUUCCAGUAUCAAAAGAGACAAAUCUUCGUGAUCAAAUAAGAUUUGGUGGAAAUGUGAAAAUGUGAAAAUGUGAAAAUGCUAUCUCAAAUAUUAUCAAAUACAAAUUAUGAGAACAAAUAUAUAGACGAUUUUAAAAUUUUGAUAGUGUAUCAACUUUUAAUUAAAUAAUCGCUGUACAAUAUUUAAGUGAAAACAAAUUGACAUGACCAACUUUUAACUCGGUCUUAGGUAGAAGUAGAAGAAGCAUGUGCCUCUAACCGCUGUAGUCGAUUCGUAUCUAUUUUACGGACUAGUUUUUGUACAAUGUACCUAUUAGAGAUCAAAUGUUGCUAGUUCUAUUGGAAAUGAGACAAGCCUAUCUCUUUUAGGGAUUCAAAACCCUUAAAUAAAGUUAAAUAUUUUCCAUAUGUUUUUGUACAAUGUAGACCGGUUUUGUUCUCAGUGAACAUUACACUAACAGUGAGCACACCUUCUUCUCAUGUCAAUAUGCCAAAGAAGUCUGGCGUUUAUCAGGAAUGCCUCUGCAUAUCCUCAAGAAUCGAAAAUUUUCAUUGGAAGACAAAGUACGAUACUUGUUCUCUCUACACCGGAAUAGUUGUCUCUGAAACAAACCUGAAACUUCCUUUUUAAGUGCUUUGGAGGCUAUGGAGAAGUCAAAAUGAUCUCCUAUUCAAUCAUCAUAAUAUCACCGAAGUAGAACGAUAAAGAGAGCAACUGAGGAUGCGAAAAAAGGGAUCAGCAGAUCUCCUCCAACGGAGACAUCAUCGUAGACACCGGCCAUAGGACUAGACAAGAGCAAAGUCGAUGGAUAAAACCAAAUAAAGGUUAUAGGUUAAGUGUAAUUAUAUAUGAUGCAUCCCAUUAUGAAGGUAAUCAAAACUCGGGACUUGGAUGGAUUCUUCGAUAUAGCAAUGGAACUUUCUUAGACUAUGUAUGGGUAAGUUUCAAGGGAGAAACACAACUGAAGAAGUAGAAUGUACAUCAAUUAUUUGGGCUAUGCAAGCAACUUGGGCCCUCGGAUAUUGAGUGGUAGAGUUUGAAGGUGAAUAUUUGAAUAUCAACCGUAUUAUCAACCAGAAAAUUACAAACCUUAAACUUCAGCAUUAUAUGGAGGCAAUCAACCGGUGAAGCGAUAUGUUUAAGCAAGACAAAAUUUCCUUUAGGCAUCGUGAGUUGAAUACAUGCGGUGAUAUAUAUGCUAGCUAGGAAAUCAAUCUUGGAUGUAACUCUUUGGUCAAUGUAUCAUUGUUGCCCAAAUUUACUAUAUCCUCUUGUAAACAAAUAUUGUGAAUUUGUGAUUUGCAAAAUCAAUAAAGUUCUUUGUCGGAGGAAAAAAAAAUAAGACAAAUACAUAAUUUAUUUUCAUUUUGGCUACGUUAGAUAACAUAUGCAUGCAUAGUGAGGCUUGAACCUCGAACUUGAUGCAAUAUGUGAACAUCCGUAAGAGGGUACCAGUAAUCAGACAUUAGUAAUCUUGUUUGUAAUAUAGAAAAAUGUUUCAGGUCUUGAUCCUACAAUUUUUUUUCUUGAAACUUGAAAGCUUUAGCUUUUGGUUCAUGUGCUAUAUUAUAUGUAGUACAAAAAUUUGGAUAUCGUCCUAUGCUGGGCUUUAGCGGAAAUAUUGAUUUAUGAGCUCGACUAUUGAGCCCAAUUAAGUGUAUUUUUCCGAAGCCUAUUGAUAUUAUCUGCAUAUAGAGAGACUAGGGUUAGCUCUAUGUAUGCAUGUAAUUUUUUCAAAAUGGACUUACAUACAUUUAAAGUUUUUCAUUUAUAUAAUAAGAUACAUGUAUAAAGAUGCUUUUGAUAAUUUGUUACAAAGGUUUCGCUUCCACAAUUCAGAAGAAAACCCUUUUUUUUUGCUUAACUUAAAACAGAUUUCUAAUGAUUACUUCCACUUGUAUUCUAACUUAGGCGUUUUUUUGCCAUGUGUGAAGUAGAUCCCAUCUUCUCUAGCAUCCCAAAAGUUCUUUUUACCAUAAUGAACUAUGAGACCACCACCUACAUAUCCCGUAAACCCUGCAUGGAACUUGAAAUUAGGUCCUUGCCAUAGAUCACAAAAGAAUUCUGUUUUCAAAACACUAUCAUGAAAACUGAAAUCGUAGGUUUCUCCAGGUCGCAAAUAGUGGAAGCCUAGAUUGUCGUCGUUCGAUAUGCAAUUGAUCUUCAAUAUAUUGUUCCGGCCUAGAGAAUUUUUAAAGAAUACAGAGUUUUUCUCAUUCCACUUUGCGUUACUCAAUCCCAUGCACAAUCCAAUAACGAGCAGAAAACACGAGAGACGAUUCAUUGUUUUGCUCUUCCUUGUUCUACACUUCGUUUAGAUUUAGAAGUAAUUUUUGUAGAUAAUUAGAAGGGGCAAUGUCUUUUUAUACUCUUUUUUACAUGGAUAUUCAUUCUAGCUAUUUUUAAACAUCUUUGUUUUGACUAAUACGAAUCCGGUUUUGCUGUUUUUCUCUUGUCCUUAUCGCUUUUACUGUUUUUGCAUCUAAUUAGGCCAUCUCCAAUGGUUAGCACCUUAAGGAGUGCUUAACCAUUUUUAAAUUAGUAUUUUUGAAGUUUUGUUGUUUAAGCAUUUCUUUUAAGAUGUUAUUUUUUUUCAGGGUCCAAUGGGAGGUGCUAAAAAGGGGUGCUUAAAAAAUUUUUUUUUUAGUUUGAAUUUGCGUCUUCUUCUUUGAUCGUUCUUGUUGUUGUGUCUUCUUCUUUGAUCGUUCUUCCUGAUACCUAUCUUCCAAUGUCUUUGGUUUAAGACUGCAUUGCCUGGCAACAGCAGAAAAAAUAUAUCAUCAAUACAGAUAAGGAAGAUAACCACUGUAUAUAACAAAACCGCUUUUUUCAUACAAACAAUCUGAUCCGAUAGAAUAAUAGAAGCCCCAUCGCCAAUAGCUUCCGGGUAUAUUGAAUGUUAAACCUAUUCUCUAACUCAGAGUGUGAGCAAUAAAGCAACCACUAACACAUAAUGAAUUUGAAAUUGGACCAUCUAUUAAGUACAAAAAGCUUCAGACUCGACGCGGAUAUAACAAACAUUGUUUCUGUUAAUUUGCACGCUGAUACAAUCAAACAAAAAUCAACCACAACACUCUCUUUUUUUAUAGUCAACUAUCAACCAUGAUACUCAAAGCACCAAAUUGCAGAAAAUCCAGAAACAAAAACCCGUAAGCAAAUCCAUUCAUCGGUCAAAAAUCAAUGUUGUCGAAAAUUACAAAAACCUGUAAUCAAAUUUGGUUUCUGAAAUUUGAUUUCCCAACUAACCAAAAUCUUGCUGAGUCUUUGCACUGGUGAGUCUUUGUUUCUGUUGAAUCGGCGGAAUUAGCUGCUUCGACGAGGGAUGAUAUCUCUGAACCAUCGAUUGAUAGAGUAAACAUCAACCUGGGUUUCUCGCCGGAAAAGUGAUGAUAACAAAGGAUUUCUUGCCGGAAAAGAUGGGGAAUAAGCAUGCAUGAAGAUCAAGCUGGGUAAUCUCUCAAUCGGCUCUCUCAAUCGCCAAAAGAAUCGAAGGUCGGCUUUGGAAACAGAAGGAGAAAAAACGACUUGGGACAAAAACGUGAUCGGUGAAGAACAAAGGAAAAAAGGUUAUCCUGCGUGAAAAAAAAAGAAAAAAAAAGAAAAAUUUUAGACCAAUGAGAAUUGAGCACAUCAUCGGUGCUUAAGGGUGCUUAAGUUGCUAAUAGAAGCAUCGAUGCUAAGCUUUUUUUCUAUUAAAGAUUUAUUUUUAAUCUAACUUUUUGAUUAAGCACUCUUUAAGCACCUUCCAUUGGAGCUGCUCUUAAAGAGUAACUAGUUAACUUUCUCGCGCCUUGCGCGGAUUGAUAUAAUUUCCAUUUGAUUGUUUGAAAAUGUAAUAGUAGUUUGGAUUUAUUUAUUUUUUUAUUCUUGAGUAUAUUUGUUUGUUAGUUUUUUUUUUGCAUUUUAAUAUUGGAAGGCAUGAUCGUGAAGACAAUAUAGAAUAGAAGAGAGUAAAUAAAAGCAUAGUAAUAUCCAAAUAAUUUAGUUUAAAUAGUUUUGAGAUAUUUUGAUUACUGUUUUAUGUAUUUUAGACGUAAUUUUUUUAAGGUUCGUAUGAACUUAUUCAAUUUUGAUCACUGUUUAAUGUGUUUUAAACAUCAUAAAUACCUUCAUUCCAUUAGUUAGAUAUAUAGAUUUUCUUUCUUUUAAACUUUUUUGUUAGAGUUUUUUUUUUAAUUUCUGUUUUUGUUUUGUUUUGAAACGACAUUCUAUUACUUUUUAAAUAGUUUUCAUUUUUUUUCUUUUAACAUUUUUGUUAGAUUUUUCUAAAUUUUAAAAACAAAAGAAAUGGUAAACACUAAGAAGUAUGGAUUCUAUUUUUUUAUAAAAAAAAAAUUUUUGUUAUUUUUUUUUUAAAUUUCGGUUAUAUAUAAUUUUAAAAACGGUUUCAUUGACCAUGAAAUUAAAAAUUAAACCAUAUUUAGACUUUUUUAAAAGGUUUUUUACACAUCAUCAUAUAAGAACCAAUAAAAAAAUGACACAUAAUUGCAAAAAGGGCUAAACGGUCUGUUUAUAGCCGAAAUUUAUUUAGGAGUUGACACGUAAGCGAAAAGCUGUGAAACUCGCUGUAAAACGUUUUUUUUUUAAUUCUUCUAAAUUUUGGUUUUAUAUAACUUCAAAAACGACACUCUAAAGCUUUUUAAAUAGAUUCAAUUUUUUGUUUCUUUUAACAUUCUAAAUUUUAGAAACAUAAGAAAUGGUAAACACUAAGAGAUAAUUUUUUUUUAGAAAAACAUUUUUUUUAAAAAAAUUUCUAAAUUUCGGUUUUAUCUAAUUUUAAAAACGGUUUAGUUGACUAUAAAAUUAAGCAUUAAACCAUAUUAAUUUAAACCGGUUCGUUUUGAGUUUUUUUUUUUACACAUCAUCAAUUAAAAACCAAUUAAAAAAUGACACAUAAUUGCUUAAUAUGGUUAAACAGUUUUUUUGUAGUCGAAACUCAUUCUAGAUCAGACACGUAAGCGAAAGAUUGUGAAACUUGUUGUGAACGCGACACGUAAGCAAAUCAGUACACAAAUAAGUAUAUAGAUGAUUUGGAUAUAUAUAUAUAUAUAUAUAUAUUUUUUUUUGGGGUUAAAUGGAUAAAAAAAAUUCAACAUUAAUUUGUGAUAUGCGUCAAUGACUAUCUUUAUAAUGUAAAAAAUCUUAAUAGAACAAAUAAACGCUUUCAUUCCCAUUGUAACAUCAAGUGGUUACGCAAAACAUUUGGGUUUGAAUGGUAACACACCGAACAUAAUGGCAAUAGCUUCCAACUUGCGGAGAACUGGUUCUUAAAGACUUUUAAGUUGCUUUCCGGUUGGGUCGUUUUAUCAUUAUUUCUUUUGUUUCUUCGGUUUUAAGAAUGUUAUCAUUGCAUCUUGACAUUGUGAGUUGAAAAACUCAUGGUUUAGUCGAUGGACUGAAUUUCGAGUUGUUUUUUGUUUCCAUGUUUAAUUUUUUUUUUGCCAUGAGACCAAUUUCAUUGGUUAAAGCAUCUAUAAAAUCUAAACCGUUCAUUUUUAAUGAUAUUAACAUCUUAGCCAAAAAAAAUAAAAGCAAUAGUGGCAAUAGAGUUCCUGGAUUUGAAAUGACAACAGUGGUAUUAUCUCAUAUCAUCUUAACUCGAAUUUUUUAGUCCUCUGUUUUUUACUUUCUUUUGUUAUGUUCCUAAAUUUUUUUUUACUAUUCUUCUGUCUUCUUGCUUUAAGAGUGUACAUGGCCAUUAACGCUCUCAUAACUCAUAAGUUAUAAUAGUGACGACCUUUGAUUAUAUCAAUAAUAAAAUUUUCGAGUAAUGUGUAACGGAACAUUGUGAACUUAUAAACCGAUUCAGACUAAGCCCAAUUAAUUGUAUAUAAUAAACAUAAGGUCCAAAAACAUUAUAAUGUAGGUCAUGCGUCUGAUUUCUUUUCUCCCAAAAGGAAGGAGACAAAACCCAUAUGGCUCAAGUGGAGACCAGUAACCAUACACAUUCACUCAUUUUCUUACAAGAAAAGAUAAGAUAAUGGAAUUUUCUGACACGUGGCCUUAUCAUAGUGGUCCGUGACGAUAAGGGUGUCAACACCUUUCCUUAAUCCUGUGGCAGUAAACGACGUUAUCAAGAAUCAUGGACCCUUUGAUCAAUAGGGCUUUUUGCCUCUAGCCGUUCUCACUAUAUAUAUAGAUGAGUAAAGCGAUAGACAAACAAGUAAGUAAGAGAAAAGAGCAAAAGAAGAAGAAGAAGAAGAAAUAGUAAUGGCUUCCUCUAUGCUCUCCUCCGCCGCUGUUGUUACUUCACCGGCUCAAGCCACCAUGGUCGCUCCAUUCACCGGCUUGAAGUCAUCCGCUGCAUUCCCAGUCACCCGCAAGACCAACACCGACAUUACUUCCAUCGCAAGCAACGGAGGAAGAGUUAGCUGCAUGAAGGUAAUUAAAUGUCACUAUAAGUUCAUAUAUAUAUAUAUACGAAAUCGAAGUAAUAUUAAUUGGAAAUGUUAUUUAUAGGUGUGGCCACCAAUUGGAAAGAAGAAGUUUGAGACUCUCUCUUACCUUCCUGACCUUACCGAAGUUGAAUUGGCUAAGGAAGUUGACUACCUUCUCCGCAACAAGUGGAUUCCCUGUGUUGAAUUCGAGUUGGAGGUAAUAAAAAUCGAAAAUCAUAUACAUAAAUAUUUAGAGUAGCUUGACCAUAUGAAUCUUGCAACGAUCUUAAAACUGUUUAGAGGUCCUAUGCAGAAUCUUGAUUUAUAUGUACAUAUUUGAAAUGUUCUUGAAUGGUUUUUGUAAUGUGUUUUGUAGAACGGGUUUGUGCACCGUGAGCACGGAAGCACUCCCGGAUACUACGAUGGACGUUACUGGACAAUGUGGAAGCUUCCUUUGUUCGGAUGCACUGACUCAGCUCAAGUGUUGAAGGAAGUGCAAGAGUGCAAGAAGGAGUACCCCCAGGCCUUCAUUAGGAUCAUCGGAUUCGACAACACCCGUCAAGUCCAGUGCAUCAGUUUCAUCGCCUACAAGCCACCAAGCUUCACCGAUGCUUAAGUCACUUUCUCUUAAAUCAUUCAUAUAAUAUUCUCAUUUGCAUUUCCAAUUGUCUCUGUUUCUUUUUUU